UAAAAGUGGCUCCAUAAUUAGUGUACAUUAACAAUCAUCUAGCUACCACUUCCGAAAAUGAUAAAUCACAAGCCGAACAUUUUUCCAAUUGUGUUGUAGAUAAUAGUUCAAUCCCAAUUUCAUCAACUUGUUUUGAGAAAGCAGGCUUCUUGGGAGUAUUUAUAUUUGUGGUUUCAUUCUUGAGCAUUGAGGAAACUUCCAGCAUUGAAGGUCUAUCGUUUGGAUUCUCCUGGACACACAACAAAGCUAUUUCCAGACAUCUCAUUAAUUUACAAGGGGAAUUUGUAUUGUCUAGGAAUGAAUCCACAAACUCCACGCCUUUGCCACCUUUCCACAACUGAUAUGCCUGAAAUUAUCAAGUACCAUCUCGUUACAUAAUUUAUACUUCUUAAUUAAGUGCGCAUAUGUGUACUCAGGGUUACUAUAGCCGAAGAAACUUACGUGCUCUAGAAUGCUUAAAUUUUCAUUGAUGCCACAUAACACUGAAAGCCUCUUUCCACUUAUGAUUUGUAGAAGUAAAACUCCGAAACUAAAAACGUCUGAUUUGGUAGAGUAUACACCUUGUCUGGCGUACUCAGGAGGAAUAUAGCCUCUGCAUUCAAAAUAACCAAGUAUAUAUGAGUAAGGGAUUUUGCAAUUUAAUAAAUUUGUAAAACCCAUUUUAAAUUGUGGUAAAAGUCCAUUCUGCAUUUUAUUAAAGUGCUGAAUUCCUUAUUCGAAACCCAAUAUAUGUAUAACAAACAGAAGCUUGAGUAAAGGAUAUCAUUUAGAUGUAAUAUACUUACAUUGUUCCCACAAUUUGUUCUGUAUUCGCUUCGAGACUCUCUUUUGCAAAAAUCCUAGCCAUACCAAAAUCUGAAAUUUUAGGUUUCAUACCUUCACCUAACAAAACAUUACUGGCUUUCAAGUCUCGAUGAAUAAUAGUCAGUCUUGAGUAUUCUUAGAGGUAUAAAAGCCCUUGAGUUAUCCCUUCAAUGAUAUGAACACGUUUUUUCCAAUCCAAAAGAAGUCUUUUGAUGGGAUCUACAACAAAUAUAUAGUUUUGGACAAUAAGUGAUAUACAAAUGAAUUAUAUACACAUUUGAUAUUAACUUGAUUUCAGAACAAACCAAAAAGGUAGCAAUCCAAGCUUUUGUUUGGCAUGUAUUCGUAGACCAGCAUCCGUUCCUCACUCUCAAUGCAAAAACCUAAAACUCUAAUAAGAUUUACAUGUUGGAGUUUUGCAGUAAGCAUAACCUCAUUCUUAAACUCCUCAAAUCCCUGUGCGGAUGAUUUCGAAAGUUUCUUCACUGCUAUCACCUCUCCACAGGGUGAUACACCCUGCAACCCAAAAAAAAAAACCACGUUCAUAUAAAGCUUUCACUAGUUAGAGAAGCUGAGAAAUGUUAGCCAAACAAUAUGCUACCCCCCAAAGUUGAGGGCACCAUUUUAAGUUCUUUAAGUCCCCAUGGACGCAAAAUGUAAAUCUCCUCUCACAGAAUAUGGAUAUGGGUAGAGGUAUCUUCCUAAAAUGUUAGUCGAAGUAGUUAUAUCCCUCUAGUGUGAGGUUAGAGGUCUCAUCUCUAAUAGGCAUAGAUUUUUAAAUUAUAUGUUUUGGGCCUCUGAAUUCUACGACGAGUGUACAAAUUCAAACUUCCGAUAGGAUCCAAAUUGAAACAUUGUGGAUUGUAACAAAUUAAAAUAUAGGUACACACACACACACACACACACAUGUUACCUUGUAAACAGGACCAUAUCCACCCUCCCCAAGCUUAUUUCUAAUUGAAAAUCCCUCGGUGGCCGCCUCAAUAUCAGCCAAACUAUAUACUCUGAGAUUAGGAACAUUUCUGUUAAAGUCUCCAGCUUCUGUUUCAUUAUUUGCUGUCGUGUUUGAUGCUUUAGCAGAAUCCUCUGUUCCUAACAUCAACCAAGAGUACAUAUUAGAUAAAUAAUUGUAUGUCAGCCUCAGAUUUAUGUGUAUAUAUAUGAAUGAAAUUCAUGCUUAAUUAUAAUUGAUAGCUGAAACUUGUUACCUUCUAUUAAAUUGAGCCUUUUCAUCUGGUUGUAUUUAUAUGCACAACAGCCUAGAAGGAGAGUCAAAGCUGCCGCUGCAGUAGAAAUGAGUGCAAUGGACAGAUGGCGGUUAUUACUAUGUUCAUCUUUGUCAGCUGAAGCAGAAGUAAUCCUUUCUUUUUGUGCUGGAAAUAUGUAUAGUUCACCAAUUAAUAAUUACUAGCUAGAGAUGCCAUAACAAUCAUUAUUAAUCAGAGAGAACAAUUAUUGCAUAGAUAAAUACCUGCAGCCUGAGAAAGCACCCAAUUAUGAUCAUCAUAAUCAACUCGCCACACAAAGUAACCACGUAACUUCUUCUCCUUAGCAUAUGCAACCUUCAUUCUAACGGCCUCGACAUCAUCAAAACCAAACCAAAUCUUCUCAAUCGAGCAGUAAUUGACCUCAUAAGUUGAAUUGUACAUAACUUGGACAUCAGGGCCAUAGGUCUUGAUGUGAUUCUUGAUUUCCUUAUAAGUCACAAGGCCGCUAUCAUGCAAAGCUGGUCCUGCUGCUGCUGCAACAAUACCAUUGUCUUCAGGUUUCACAAGCGUCCAUGCAUAGCCAUAGAAAGGCAAACACAUAACCAACUUAUCUGCCGAUAAUCCUCUGUCAAUCCAUGCCUUUAAAACCUGAUCGGUACUUCUAACAAAGCCGCCGCUACUUGAGCCAUAGAGAGCCGCAGGUGGCGCCGUGAAGUUUGUUGACACAGGCUCGUAGUAGCUAGCAGUAACCGCAUGAACCCAAUUCAAGUUUCGUUCUAUCGAAUUCAAAAGAUAUGAAUUCGCUGGUGGUGAAUAAUGAAAUCUUGCGGUCAAGAUCAGCUGGGAUUGCUGGCGACUAGAGUUUUUUGCCUCUAAUUUUGUAGCAGCAAUUCGCCACUCGUCAAAAAGUAAACCAAUAUUGAACAAAUCGGUGCUUGUGUUUGGAGCUGUCCAAGCAAAGUCUAGGCCCUGAAAGCCAUAAAGCCUAGCUAUUCUUAUUGAAGAGUCGAUGAAAGAUUUUCUGUGAGAAGAAUUGCUCACCAUUGAAGAAUAAAUAGAAUAGUUUGUAUCCAUUCCUUGUCCAAUGGAGAGAAGUAUAGUGAUUGAUGGGUUCUCUUUUUUCACAGUGUCUACGAAUUUGGCGAUUUGAUUUUCAUCGGAUGGUAAUGAUAAAGAUAGCUGGUAAGUGGUGGAAUUGAUAUCAGCGUAAGAGCAAAUAAGGUGAGUGAAGAGAUCAUAAUUUAUGCCCGAAAUGGUGGACACUUCGCUUGAAUCCAAGUAACCGACCCUGAUCCACGGUUUUGCUUUCGCGGGAUAAAAUUCUGAAUAGAAUAACAUGUGGAAGAUGAUGCUGAUAAUUAUGGAUGCCAUUUGAGACUUUGUUAGGAAUGGAAAUGGAUCCACACAAGAGAAAUUAAAUAAACACUAGUUUCACAGAUCAUUUAAGUACUUAUGUAAACUAUUAACUUAUAGGUUCAUUUCGUUCCAAAAAAAUCUUAUGUGCUUCUGAUAGGGAAACAUACAUUGCAUGUUAUGAUGAUGAUAGGCGAUGCGACCAUUGCCUGAGAACUAAGAUUUUCUUCCAUCGCUUGGGUGACCUUUCACGAAGAAAAAUGAUGUUUUGAUUUACAUUUGGUUAAACUGAUGACAAAUUUCGGGCCAUAAAUAUCACUAUUGUUUUAUUAAAUAAUAAAAAAAUUAAUUUUACAUGUACGUUGAAAGUUAAUAUUGCAAUCACCAACAAGUGCGUAGAUCAACUGACAAGGGGUUGUUCUAGCUUAACCAAGGUCCUUGGUUCGAGACUUGAGAAUGCAGCUACGUUAAAUACUUGUUGGGAGAGUUUUGUCAUCCUAAUGGCCUUACACGGCUCGAAUCUGAAUUAGAGUUUUGUCACCCUAAUGGUCCUACACGGCUCGAAUCUGAAUUAGUCGAGACCCACUGAUACCAAAUGGCUUCAUAUACCAAAGAAAAAGUUAAUAUUGCAGUCUUUUGAGACUGUGUUGACGUUUAUUCGGUUCGUUUAUUAUAUAUUCCCGUUUUUCUCCCUGUCUGUUUGCUACAGUGCUCUUACAAGGAUAGCAUCUUUAAUGCACCUCAGAAGUAGUUAAGAAAGUCUUGAUAAAAAACCAGACAUUUUCUAUCUACUCAAAACGUAGUUAUUGGACUAAUUAAGAUUCUAAUCCCUUUAAUAAAUAUUCAAAAAGGGUUACUGUCACUACUCAGUCCUUGUUGUUUUAUAAAAAAAAAAAAAAAAGAUAUUUAAAGAGGCAUCACAUAAAUCCUUCCUAAUUACAUUUUGUUUCAUUCAAGUUGUUGACUUAAUUUGACUGCCUGGAAAAAUUAGUAAAGAGGUAAAAAUAAAAAAAAAGGUAAAUUCUAGUUAUUAGACUAAAUAUAUAGUAUAAAUUUGCAGCAACUAGCAAAAAGUUUAGAAUAUGAAAAAUCCUAUUUCAUUUAAAAAACAAUGAAAAUUCUAAUCAUUUUAAAAAAAAAAAACUCUGAAAGUUUGAAAAACUAAGAUUUUAAGAUCCUUUUACAAUAACCAUAAUUAACACAAAUUUCCGAAUUAUUAUUACAUAAUAAAAUUUUACUAAUAGAAAUAAGAAAACAAAACAAAUAGCACUCAAAUCGGAUAUAUAAAAAAAAAUCUUGAAAUAAAUAGAAAAAAUAAGAAAAUAACUAAAACUUGCAAAACGACCAUGAAAGAAAUGAAAUUUCCGGCCGAACCAAGGGGCCAAUGUGCAUAGUAUUAUUGGACUAGAUUUAUCAGACCACAAGCUUCAAAACAAUAUAUUAUAUUUCCUAAAUGGACACAUGUAGGUUAAGUUACUCAAUUGUAUUAGGAGCUGUCCAAGCAAAAUCUAGGCCCUCAAAGCCAUAAAGCCUAGCUAUUCUUAUUGAAGAGUCGAUGAAAGAUUUUCUGUGAGAAGAAUUUCUCACCAUUGAAGAAUAUAUAGAACAGUUUGUAUAUCUUCCUUGUCCAAUUGAGAGAAGUGUAGUGAUUGAUGGGUUCUUUUGUUUCACAGCGUCUGUAAAUUUGGGGAAUAUUUGAUUUCCAUCAAAUGGUGAUGAUAAAGAUAGCUGGUAAGUGGUGGAAUUGAUAUCAGCGUAAGAGCAAAUAAGGUGAGUGAAGAGAUCAUAAUUUAUGCGCGAAAUGGCGGACACUUCGCUUGAAUCCAAGUAACCGACCCUGAUCCACGGUUUUGCUUUCGCGGGAUGAAAUUCUGAAUAGAACAACAUGUGGAAGAUGAUGCUGAUAAUUAUGGAUGCCAUUUGAGAGGCUUAAGCUUCUUAAUUACCACUUCGAUGGGAAUGGAAAUGAAUGCACACUGACACCAGACACAAUAGAUGAGAAAGUACAACGUCACACACUCAAGAAAUCACAAGCUCACCACCACAGCAAACAACAAAAGGAUACAGAAAAAUAUUCACCACCUAAAGUUGUUAAGCUACGGAUACAGAGCUUAAAACACUCACCACUCAAUGGAAUCCACCAAAGAGAUACAGAGUUUGAUAAUAGCUCAAAGUUCAUUCAAUUUCUAAAAUUAAUCUUCGUCCUUUUGUUACAACUACAUAAGCUUAAAUAAUUUUCUUGGAACAAUCCUCCAAGCAUAGAUUUACUACAAAGAAACCCUUCAAAUAACUUGACUUUAAAGACCAACAUUAAAGCUAGACAUUAAUAAAACAUUAGUAUGCUUAAAACACAACAAAGAACAUUAAAAAAAAUCUAAGUCCCGAAAUAUUCUUCUUGACUCAAAACUGAACAGUCUGCACUUAACUGAUCAUAACUUACUGUAGAAAACUCCAAAUUUAGAUUAGUAAAAUUCAUUGGAAAGCUAACAGAAAUAUCUUUCCAAUGAUGUAUGGCUCGAAAAUUAAUUCGAUCUCAUGCAGUACAGUUUAAUUCCAAAAGAUGCCCCUUCUGCACAGAAAUUCUGCUCACUUGAUUAAUGUAAGAACUUGAGCUGCACUUGGUAUAACUUGAUUACCAAAUAUUUCAAACACUCCUGUGUUACACACUAAGAGAAAUUAAAUAAACACAAGGUUCACAGUUCAUUGAGCUCUCAUGUUAACGUAUAGGUUCAUUUCGUUGCAAAAAAAAAAAAUCUUACGUGCUCCUGAUAGUGACACAUACACUGCAUGUUAAGAUGAUGAUGGGCGAUGCGACCAUUGCCUAAGAACUAAGAUUUUCUUCUACCGCCUGGGUGACUUUCCAUGAAGAAACAUGAUGUUUUGAUUGACAUUUGGUUAAACUGAUGACAUAUUUUGGGCUACAAAUAUUAGUAUUGUUUUAUUAAAUAAAAAUAAUAAUAAUUUUACGUGCAUGUUGAAGGUAAUAUUGCAGUCUUUUGAGCCUGUGUUGAAUUUCAUUCGUGUGCGUUCAUUUAUUAUCCAUCCCCUUUUUUCUCUGAGUCUGCUAGCCGUAGUCAUCUUAAAACGAUAACAUGUUUAAUGCAUGUAAAUGCACCUCAGAAGUAGUCAAGAAAGACUUGAUCAAACCAGAAAAUUUUCCUCUUAACACAGACGUAGUUAUCGGACUAAUUAAGAUUCUAAUCCAUUUAAGAAAUAUUCAAAAAGGGUUAUUGUCACUACUUUAGUCCUUGUUGUUUUAUUAAAGAAAGAAAAAAAAAAGAAUAUAUUUAAAGAAGCAUCACAUAAAUCCUUCCUAAUUACAUUUUGUUUCAUUCAAGUUCUUGACUUAAUUUGACUGCUUGGAAAAAUUAGUAAAAAGGUAAAAAUAAAAAAAAUGUAGAUUGAUAUUAAGGAAUUCAGCAAGCAAGCUACAAGAAUAUCCAAAAGCGUGUAAUUUAUGUUUAAGGAAAUAAGUGGAGAUAGAGAUGAAAUUGUAAAUUCAUCCCAAUCUUAAGUGGUUUAAUUCAAGAUGUAUGUUAGCUACAAGCACAGUAAGCAUGGUGAUGUCUCUCUUUAACGCAGGGGACACAACAAAAACACUGUAUUUCUACCCUUUUAAAAAAUUCCAAUAAUAUGUACACGUUAUAUAUAAGAUAUAAAAAUCAUUACUUUUAGUAUAAGAUAUAAAAAAAAAAUCAAUUAAUAACCAUUAGAGAAUAAAAAUUUAUGUAAUUGAUGCAGAUAAAUGGAAUCAAGUAGUAACAUUUCCUUCUCAUUGAAGAGAAAAGAUUUAAAAAAAAAAAGGGGAACGCAAACAUGACAAUUUUUUUUAUCCGCACACGCCAUGAUAAUCGAUAAUCCGAUAUACCAACCGCGUCUAAUUGUCUGAAUUCUCCAGCUUACCAAGCUUGCUCAAUCGCACCGACAGACACUGACAAUGGGAGAUUAAUCACCACUCGCAGUAUUCGACGCGUGAAGGACACAUUCACCAAUAAUUUAUAGCGGACAGUAGCAUUCCCGAUGCUGCACGGAGAAAAAUAGUUGGAUUUGCGUAAGUUAAAUUGACUUGACUCGAGAGAGUGAAGAAUGGUGGUGGUUGCUGUUAAGCAGUCAGUACUUCUGGCGACUGCUUGGCUUACACGCAGUUCUUGGGGGUGUCAUUUGACUGUGAAAAAGAAUUUUGGCUUUAUUGAUAUCAUGUUGGAUUUGGAAUUUUGGAUGGCUUCGUUUGGACCAUAAGACGCUAUCUCAUCCAUAACACGUUAGCAGUCCUUCUCACGGGAGAAAAACUGGGGUGGGAUUGAGCAAGAUUAUAUGAGUCCUCGAAGUGUCACUUACAAAUUUUUAAUUAUAAAUGACUGCCGAAUAAUUAAUCAAAAUUUUAUUAUUUAUGGUUAUAAUUAGAAUGAUAAGAAAUCAAUUCGAUGUUAUUCUUUGUGGCUCUGCUUAGAAUACUAAAAAAUCAAGUCGACUUACUUAUCUUUAUGUUGAUCAUUACAGGCCUUUUGAAUUUUUUAUCUACUUUAGUUGUAAGUAAUAUAACUUCACUUUUUUUUCUUUACUUUGGUUUGGUUUUCUUUAUAACUCAUAAAAAUUUUCUCGUUAAGAUUGUAUGAACCAAUUGAAACUUCAGAUUUGUAUGAACCAAUUGAAACUUCAGAUUCAUACUAGAAUUAUGAUGAUUCAAUAAAACCUUCAAAUUAAAUUCACAUAUUCCAUGAGGGAGAACCCUUGGAUUACAUUUGUUCAAGUUUAUGCUUUGAGUAAAAUAAAAGUAGAAAUAGGAAUUUGAAAGAAGAAAUUUAGUUAUAAAAAAUUAUCAAAUAAUUAAUUGUUUGGCAUUUAUUUUAUGGGUCCCAACCCAUGUGAUCCGCCAAAUGAGACGUCUUAUGUGAUUGGUUAUGCCAUGGUGCGCUAGCCACAUUUAAGUUUCUCUCUUCUUAUGGAUAUAACUGUAUAUGGGUGGCGUUAUAUAGUGCCCCACAUGGGCUCAUUAAAAUUAUUUUAUGUGCAUUUUAAACAUACCCUCUUUAUUGAUUUGAAACACCAAAAAUACCUCUCUUAAAUUUUAAAAAUAUAAAAAAAAAUUACGUGUUAAAACAAUGCUUGAUGUCUCUAGCCUAACAGUUAGCACACCUAUUGUAUACACUUUUACUUUUUUCUUCUCUAAUUUUUUACUCCUCUUUUCUCUAAUUCUUCACACUUCACUACUCUUUUAUCUCUAAAAAAAUUAAGCAAUCUCUAGAAGCUUAUUACUAAUUUUUUGAUCAAAUUACUUAUAUAAGUACUCUUGAUUGAUUAACACUUCUUUAAUUUUUUUUGGGGAUUUCUCUUAGAUGAAAGAAUUAAGGUUAUGUUCUAAAAAAAAUUUAACUCCCAUAUUAUGGUUUUGAUAAUGCGAUUAUCCUUAAAUUUUUCAACAUAUUAAAAUACUUUGAAACAACUGUAAAUGUGUUGAAUGAAAUAUUCUAAUAAAUUUAUAUUUUGGUACUUAUUAAUUAUUUAACUUUUUUCUUAAAAUUACAUUACUAUUUCAGCUUAGCCCUUGUGACAUUAAAUUCCUGAUAGCGCCACUAAAUGUAAGUUUUAAACUCAUGUUCGAUUUCUCCCAUGUUCAAACUCUACCUUUAAUUUAUAUUUCAAUUUUGUGGCCUACUUUUGAGUUUCUAAUUUCACAUAGAAGGCAUGUUAAACUUACCUUAGAUGCAAUAUUAAGAAAUCAAAUACACCAUGUGCAUUAGUGGGGGCGAAAAAAAAAAGAAAAGAAAAAGUCUUUUAUUGGUAAAAGAUGAAAGCUCUUCGGCACUGAUCAGAAGAAAAAUCAUUCUCCAUACAAUGAGCAAAACAAAGUCCAAUUCGCAUUGCAUAGAAGUAAGACCGAAGCAUUGGACUAAAAGCAUACACUAGUCUUAUUUUUCGUUACUGAUAACAUUUUUUUUCCCCUUAUAUUAUCACCUUAAUUAAGAAAAAUAAUAAUUUGUUUAACUAUUUGCGAAAAAGGAUGGCAAUAUACAAUAUUAUUGUGUUGAUGACCUUGAAAGCCAAUUCUUUUGAAACAGAAAAACUGUUUUUGUGUUUUGAUUAUGUUAAGCAAAUGAAUGGUCUUUAAGAGUUAUGAAAAUGUUAUCAAUAAAAUUACAAACUCUUAAGAGUUUAUAGAUGUAGUUAGUGAUAUUACAUUACAUUAAUUAAUACAAUACAAACUGUUUACUAAUAGAGCCUCAAGAGAGUAAUUCAUUAUUUAGUUGGCAAAUUAAACAACUGCAGCAGUCACUAGCAGCCUUCCAUGAGCUAGCAUAGAUCAAUUGUUCAUUUACCAACCAAUUGUGAAAUUGUUACAUCAUUACUUGAACAUAUUUCCAAUCCAAUCAUGGCUUUGUUUUGUUCAUCUUCAUAAGCUUUGUUUGAGAAACUUGCAGGCUUCUUUGGAGUCAUUAUAUCAGCUGUAUUCUCAUUUUCGAGCAUCGAAGAAAUUUCCAGUAUAGAAGACCUCUUGUUUGGGUUCUCCUGAACACAUAGCAAAGCUACUUGGAGACAUGUCAAUAAUUUCCACGAGGAAUUCGUAUCAUCUAGUGAUGGAUCCAUUAACUCCACGCCUUUCCCAUCCUUCCACAACUCGUAUGCCUGAAAACAUCAAAUAAGUUAUCGAGUUACAUUCCAUUGAUUAGCACUAUAAUGUUUUGAUUCAGUGUGUAUUAGAAAGGGGGUUAUGAAGAAACUUACAUACUCUACAAGGCUUAGAUUUUCAUUUUGACCAUAUCGAAUGAAAAGUCUUCUUCCACUUAUAAUUUGUAGAACCAAAACUCCAAAACUGUAGACAUCAGAUUUAGUGGAGUAGACUCCUCUUCCAAUAUAUUCAGGAGGAAUAUAGCCUCUAUAGUAUCGAGUAAUUACAAAUGUUACUAAAACUAUUUGACGUAAAAGAUUAAGUUGAUUGGUAAAGGUUCAACAAUAAUAUUAAAGACAAGUCAGAAAAAAAAUAGAAAAAUAUAUACUUACUGGGUUCCAACAAUUCGAUUUGUGUUUGCUUCAAGAUCAUCUUUCACGAAAAUUCUAGCCAAGGCAAAAUCUGAUAUUUUAGGUUUCAAAUCUUCAUCCAACAAAAUAUUACUAACUUUUAAGUCUUGAUGAAUAAUUGUUAAUCUAGAAUAUUCUUGGAGAUAGAGAAGCCCCUGAAUAAUUCCUUGAAUGAUAUGAAUACGUUUUUUUCCAAUCCAAAAUAAACCUUCUGAUGGGAUCUGCAUCAAAUGUAAAUUUAGUUGGACGGUCAGUACCAUUAGCAUUUGGAGACGAGAAAUGCAAAUUGAGGCACAAAAAUUAGAAAUUAAGCAGUUAAGCACAUACAAAAAAGGAAAUAGUCUAAGCUUCGUUUUGGUAUAUACUCAUAGAUGAGCAUAUAUUCUUGUGUGUCAAUGCAAAAACCCAAAACUCUGAUCAAAUUUACGUGUUGAAGCUUUGCAGUAAGCAUAACCUCAUUCUUGAACUCCUCAAAUCCUUAUGUGGAUGUCUUCGAUAGUUUCUUCACUGCUAUUAUUUGUCCAUCAGAUAAUACACCCUGCAAGCACCCCCCAAAAUAUAUGUUUUUUUAAAAAUCAGUGUGUUCACACAUGUUGAAAAGUCAUGCACGUGACAUUGAAAUUCAAAAAUGAAUGCAAAAUUUCAAAUGGCUACCAAACAUUUGAAGAAAAAAUGGAAAGUUGGCAAAUUUGUCAAAUUUGCCAAAUGGACACCAUUGACUAUUGGCUUAGGUUAUGUGGAAUAGUAAAAGGGUUGGUGCAAUAGUGCCAUUAUUUUCCCUAUAAAUAGAUGGCACUUCUUCCAUUCUAAAUCAUCCCAAAAUUGUUAAGCUUAUAAGUUUCUAAGCUUUUGAGAGAAGUGAGAGAAGUGUGUCUGAGGAAUUUAUCUUUCCUGCAGAGUGUGAGAGUACUGGGUAUAUUUGGGUUUCUGGGAAGUGAGAUUCGUUACUCAAAUAUUGUAUUCUAUUAAUUGUUAAAUAAACAAUUAUUCUUUCUUGCCUUCGUGGAUGUAGGUUUAAUUACCAAACCACGUAAAUUCUUGUGUCCUUUAUUUUUCAGUAAUUAUUUGGUGCGCUUGAUUCCGCAUUCCGCGCACAACAAGUGGUAUCAGAGCCGACGGUUCGUACUUGGGGGGAUACGGUACUAUUCACGUAUACGGUACUGUUCACGUAUACGGUAAUGUUCAUGUAUACGGUACUAUUCACGAAUACGUUGGAGACGGCCAUUUGUACUUGGGAGACAGUCUAUUGUAAGUAGUGUGUAUUUUUGCAUGUCUAGGAAAGUUCUGUCAAAAAAGGCGAUAAGAGUCUAAGGAUUCUGGUUUUUAAUUGGGACCGAAUUCCCGUCCAGUUUUCUGGGAACUUUCCUGGUGCAUUUAUUCACGCGAAAUUAACAUCAUAGAGGCUGUUUUUCAAGUGGAAAUAGUUCGUUGAGAAAAAUCGUAGAAGGUGAAACUUCCAGAAUUGGGGAGAGAUCUACCGAGACUAUUUCAGGAGACAUUUCAGGUGGGAGGCGAGAUUUGUCAAAUCGCUAUUCAGCACCUGUUAUAGGAGGCCAGAAGAUCGAUGUUGAAAAGUUUGAUGGGAAAAUCAACUUCGGCAUGUGGAGGCGCGAAGUUAUGGAUGCCCUUAUUCAAAUCGAUCUCGAUGUUGUCCUGAAAAAUAAAAGACACUUGUAUGAUGAAGAAAUUUGGGAUCGUAUGAACGAGAAAGCCUGUGGUCAGAUCAGAUCUUGUUUGACCAAGGAGGUGAAAUACUUGGUGAAAGAUGAGGAGUGUGCAGUGACUUUGUGGCGUACAUUGGAAGAGAAGUACCUGGUGAAAAGUCCUGAAAAUCGUCUUCAUGCAAUGAGCCAAGUAUAUGGCUUUCGAAUGAAGUCUGGGGUGUCAAUGCACGAUCAUGUUUCAAGAUUUAAAAAGUUACUUGCUGAUUUGAAGAAUCUUGAUGAAGAUAUUAAAGAUGAAGUCAAUGCUAUGAUUCUGUUACACUCACUACCAGAGGAAUAUAGCCAUUUUGUGACUACUUUGAUAUAUGGGAAGAGUGUGAUCGUCUUUAAAGAUGUUUGCACAGCAUUGACUAGUUUGGAGAUUCGGAAUAAUGAUAAAAAUUCUGAACGAGCAUCGUCUGAAGCUUUGGUGAGCAGAGAUUGGGCGAUGGAGAAAAAGAUAAAUGGUGGUGGAAAGAAUUCUCGAUCCAAAUCGAGAAGCAGAAAUAUAGCUCGAGAUGAGUGUGCCUUUUGUCAUGAAAAGGGCCAUUGGAGGAAAGAUUGUCCAAAGGCUCAAAAGAGAGAUGGGAAAAAACCAGCAUCAGCAAACAUGGCACGGAAAGAUGAGGACUCUGAUUAUUCACUAAGUAUCACUCCUGCAGCAUAUGUGGCUAGUUCGAGUGAGUGGAUACUUGAUACUGGAGCAACCUAUCAUUUGUGUCAUAUUAAGGAAUGGUUUACGGAUUUUCGUAAUCUGGAAUCCGGUGCAGUUAUGAUGGGGAAUAAUCAACCUUGUCGCACAAUGGGGAUAGGAACAAUUCGGCUCAAAAUGUUUGAUGGAAUGGUCAGAGAACUCAAAGAGGUUAGAUUUGUUCCAGAGAUAAAGAAAAAUCUAAUUUCUGUGGGUGCUUUGGAAGCUAAAGGUUACAAAGUUACCAUUGAAGAUGGCACAAUGAAGUUUACACAUGGGGCUAUGGUGAUUCUGCAAGGGGUUCGGCGUCACAAUCUGUACUAUUUGAAAGGAGGUACAACUGAUGAAGCAAAUGUUGUUGAGGCGCACAGUGACACCACCAAGCUAUGGCAUGUACGACUGGGACAUGCAGGAGAGAAGUCUUUGCAAACUCUGAUGAGGCAUGGACUCUUAAAAGGUAUCAAAACCUGUAAAUUAAAUUUCUGUGAGCAUUGUGUAGUAGGCAAAAAAACAAGGGUCAAGUUUGGUACAGCUAAUCACGAUACUCGUGAGAUCCUUGAAUAUGUUCAUAGUGAUGUAUGGGGACCAACCAAGACUGCAUCAAUUGGUGGAAGCCAUUAUUUUGUUAUAUUUGUUGAUGAUUUCUCUAGACGUGUAUGGGUGUACACCAUGCGAGCAAAGGAUGAGGUUCUAGAGAUUUUCGUGAAGUGGAAGAAAUUGGUGGAGACUCAAACUGGCAGAAAGAUCAAAGUAUUACGAUCUGAUAAUGGGGGUGAAUAUACUUCUGAUCCAUUCUUGCAAGUAUGCCAGAACGAGGGUAUUAAAAGACAUUUCACAGUGAGACAUACUCCGCAACAGAACGGUGUGGCUGAGCGUAUGAAUCGUACUUUACUGGAGAAGGUACGAUGUAUGUUAUCUAAUGCUGGUUUAGAUAAAAAGUUUUGGCCUGAAACUGUGAGCUACGCAAGUCACUUGGUAAAUCGGUUGCCUUCUGCUGCAAUUGGAGGUAAAACUCCUAUGGAAAUGUGGUUUGGAAAGCAUGCACAAGACUAUGAUUCCCUUCGUGUAUUCGGGUGUCCAGCUUAUUAUCAUGUCAAAGAUGGUAAACUGGAUCCUCGUGCUAGAAAAUCUAUCUUUGUGGGAUUCAAAGGUAGAGUAAAGUGCUUCAAGCUUUGGGAUCUCGAAGACAAAAAGUUUGUGUGUAGCAGAGAUGUCACAUUUGAUGAAGCUUCAAUGAUAAAAGCUUCAAGUUCUCAGCAGGUGGAGAACAAGACCACAUAUGUAUUGCAGCGGGUGGAGUUUGAUGCAACUCCAUAUGUACCAGUUAGUUCUACAUCAAAGAAUGGUUCAACUAUGGAGGUGACACCUAAAGUUGAAGAAGAGGUUGUUUCUUCUGAUGUCCCACAAAAUGAAGAAACAAUUGAUGAUGUAGAUGAUGAUGAUUUUAUAGCAACAAGGAGGCCAAGAAGAGAGAUAAAGAAACACGGAUGGCUUACUAAAGAUAUGGUGGUAGCCUAUGCACUUUCAGUUAUUGAUGAUGACAUCCCCAAUACUUUCGGUGAAGCAUUACGCAGUAAUGAAAGUGAUCAGUGGAAGCUAGCCAUGGAGGAAGAGAUGAAAUCUCUCCAUCAAAACCAGACUUGGGAACUUGUAAAGUUACCAAAGGGGAAAAGGGCUAUUGGCAAUAAAUGGGUCUACACCAAAAAGCAAGGAUCUCCGAAUCAAACAACUCCUCGAUACAAGGCAAGGCUCGUGGCAAAAGGUUUUGCUCAAAAGGAAGGUAUUGACUACAAUGAAGUUUUGUCUCCAGUUGUAAAACAUACUUCCAUUCGUAUCCUACUUGCCUUAGUUGCAGAAUAUGAAUUAGAGUUGGCUCAGUUGGAUGUUAAGACGGCGUUCUUACAUGGAGAUUUGGAGGAGGAAAUCUACAUGAUUCAGCCUUGUGGUUUUAGAGUUGCUGGAAAGGAGAAUCAUGUGUGUAGGUUGAUUAAAUCUUUGUACGGACUGAAGCAAUCGCCAAGGCAGUGGUAUAAAAGAUUUGAUCAAUUUAUACAAGGGCAGAAAUUCACCAGAAGUGAACACGAUCAUUGUGUUUACUUUAGAAGACUACCAGAUAGAGCUUUCAUCUAUUUGCUACUCUAUGUCGACGAUAUGCUUAUAGCUUCGAAGAAUAGAGAUGAGAUCGAAAGAUUAAAGAAGCAGCUGGCUUCUGAGUUCGAGAUGAAAGACUUGGGUGAUGCACAGAGAAUACUUGGGAUGGAGAUUUGUAGAGACAAGAAGAAUGGGAGCGUAUGGUUGACUCAAAAGUCUUAUUUGAAGAAAGUGCUAGAAAGAUUCGGUAUGGAUGACAAAACUAAACCGGUAUGUACACCUCUAGCUCCUCAUUUCAAAUUAGGCUCUUCUUCAUGUCCUAAAUCUCAAGAGGAGCGCGAUUACAUGGCUCGUGUUCCAUAUGCUAGUGCUGUGGGUAGUCUUAUGUAUGCUAUGGUAUGUACAAGGCCCGAUAUAUCUCAAGCAGUAAGCAUGGUUAGUAGAUACAUGCACGAUCCGGGUAAAAGUCACUGGCUUGCAGUAAAGUGGAUUCUUCGAUAUCUGUAUGGGACAGUUGAUGUUGGGUUAUUGUUCAAGAAGGAUUGUGGUCAACAAUGUGUUGGCUAUUGUGAUUCUGAUUUCGCUGGAGACCUUGACAAGCGAAGAUCAACAACGGGCUACGUAUUCACAUUGGGUGGAGGUCCAGUUAGCUGGAGGUCAAUUUUGCAAUCGACAAUUGCUCUGUCCACUACGGAAGCAGAGUACAUGGCAACAACUGAAGCUGUAAAGGAAGCUAUCUGGUUGAAAGGCUUGUUAGGUGAUUUGGGAGUAAUCCAGGAGAACAUUACGGUCUUCUGUGAUAAUCAAAGUGCGAUAUUCCUUGCGAAGAAUCAAACAUAUCACGCUCGGACAAAGCACAUAGAUGUGAAAUAUCAUUAUGUGAGAGAGAUUAUCGAGAGCGAUGUUGUGUUGUUGAGAAAGAUCGAUACCAAAGAUAAUCCAUCAGAUAUGUUGACGAAGGUAGUUUCUGGAGUUAAGUAUCAACAUUUCUUGAAAUUAAUUCAAAUCCUUCGAUUGUGUUAAAGAUAUGUCCUUCGGGAAUUUUGAACUACGGUUGGCUUGAUCCCAAAUUUUGGGUACGUAGGCAGUCGAAACGACACAGCCAUUCUGGAUCCUUAUUGAAGGAUCACUUUGGGGAUGAGGGUUCGUUGGUAGUCGGCUCAGAUUUGGACAAAUUUUCGCCGAGGUGGAGAAUUGUUGAAAAGUCAUGCACGUGACAUUGAAAUUCAAAAAUGAAUGCAAAAUUUCAAAUGGCUACCAAACAUUUGAAGAAAAAAUGGAAAGUUGGCAAAUUUGUCAAAUUUGCCAAAUGGACACCAUUGACUAUUGGCUUAGGUUAUGUGGAAUAGUAAAAGGGUUGGUGCAAUAGUGCCAUUAUUUUCCCUAUAAAUAGAUGGCACUUCUUCCAUUCUAAAUCAUCCCAAAAUUGUUAAGCUUAUAAGUUUCUAAGCUUUUGAGAGAAGUGAGAGAAGUGUCUGAGGAAUUUAUCUUUCCUGCAGAGUGUGAGAGUACUGGGUAUAUUUGGGUUUCUGGGAAGUGAGAUUCGUUACUCAAAUAUUGUAUUCUAUUAAUUGUUAAAUAAACAAUUAUUCUUUCUUGCCUUCGUGGAUGUAGGUUUAAUUACCGAACCACGUAAAUUCUUGUGUCCUUUAUUUUUCAGUAAUUAUUUGGUGCGCUUGAUUCCGCAUUCCGCGCACAACAACACACACACACGUAGCUUGCACUAAUUAAUUAAUAAGCUGAGAGAUAACCAAGCUACCGAUACAUAACCUUGUAAACAGGACCAUAUCCACCCUCCCCGAGCUUAUUUUCAAUUAAAAAUCUAUCCGUGGCCACCUCAAUAUCAGCCAAGCUAUAUUCUCUCAGAUCAGGAUCAUUGCUGUUAAAAUCUCCAGCAUCCGCUUGUCUAUUUUCGCUGUCCUUUGAUGCUUUGGCUGAGUCAAUUACGGUCCAAUUAAUAUCAACCAAGAGAAAGAAAGCUAAUUUAAGUGAAUCGCCCACUUCUUCAUCUGUGUUAAAUGGAAUAGAAGUAAAAAUAUUCCUAAUCCCGUGUAGAAGAAGUUACCUUUUAAUUUGAGGUUUUUCAUCCAGCAGUAGUAAUACAGCAAAAAGCCUAUUAGAAGAAUACAAGCUGCAGUUAUAGGCAAAACAAUUGCCCAUAAUAGCCGCUUAUUUUGUCGAUUCCUUUCAUCCUCUUCAGCUGAAAAGUCAAAUCACUUUGUGUUAUUUAACCACUGAUGGUCAAAUAAAGAUCUUAAUUGAAGUCAUUAUGCAGAGAACUGAUCGAAUGGGUAGCAGGCAGUGAGUGAGGCUUUGCAUUUGCUUACCUGCAGCUUGAGAAAGCAUCCAAUAAUGAUCACUGGAAACUUGCCACACAUAGUAACCACGUAGCUUCUUUUCCUUGGCAUAUGCAACCUUCACUCUAACAGCCUCGACAUCAUCAAAACCAAACCAAAUCUUCCCAAUCGAGCAGUAAUUCACGACAUAAGUUGAAUUGUACAUUACUUGAACAUUAGGACGAUAGUUCUUGAUGUGAUUCUUGACUUCCUUAUAAGUCACAAGGCCAUCAUCAUGCAAAGCUGGUCCUGUUGUUGCUGCGCCAAUGCCAUUGUCCUCAGGUUUCACAAGCGUCCAUGCAUAGCCAUAAAAAGGCAAACAUAAAACCAAUUUAUCAGCCGAUAACCCUUCCUCAAUCCAUUCCGUGAUUCCAUAUUCAGUAUUAGAGACACUAUUUGGAUCAUACAGAGCCGCAUGAGCACCAGUAAAAUUUUUCCGCGUAGGGCUUGAGUAUUCGGUAGUGAUAACAUGAACCCAAUUCAAGUACUGUCUUAUCGAGUCGACUGGAUAAGCUGCUGCUGUUGAGAGUGGUGAAUAUGCGACCUUUGCUGUCAAAAUCAACUGUGAUUGGCUCGAGUUAUUUCUUGCUUCUAAAGCAACGGCAGCUCGCCAUUCUUUUAAAGAGAAUGCCAAUAUUGUACUUAUCCCAGUUUGUGUUUGCCUGAUUCCAAGACAGAUCUAAGCCUUGAAAGCCAUAAAGCCUUGCUAUUUUUAUUGAGGAGUCAAUAAAGUAUUUCCUGAAAGAAGGAUUGCCCGCCAUGGAAGAAUAACUUGAAUAGUUUGGAUUAUUGCCUCCUCCGAUGGAAAGAAGAGUAGUGAUUGAUGGGUUCUUUAUUUUGACAGUGUCUGUGAAGUUGGAGAAUUGUUUUUCAUCAGAAGGUGAUAAAGAAAGCUCAUAGGAAGUUGAGUUGACAUCGGCAAAACCACACAUAAGGUGAGUGAAAAGAGCAGAAUUUACAUCUGAAACGGGGAACCCACCGUCUGAAUCCCAGUAACCAGCUCUGAUUAAAGUUUGUGCCCUUGCAGGAAGCGAUUCUGAAAAUAUAAAAAUGUAGAGUACAAGAAUGAUAAUUUUGGAUGCCAUUGUGGGAACCUUGCUGCUUUGAGGCAAACCUAGUAUGUGAUUACAUAUAUAUGUACAGACACAAAAUGUAAUGGAGAAAAUAUCCGACACCGAUUGAGAUUUGUUAUUGGACUAUAAUACAAACUUGAGGCAACUUUCAACUCAUGAGCUUAGCUCAUAAGUCUUUAUACGGUAUCAAAGUCAAGUUUCGAAAGAGUGACUCUAUACUACCUUUCAAUUUAACAAAGAGAAAGAAAAGAGAUCAGCCUACACGUGGUAGGAAGAUAGAAAAAGUAUAUCACAUUGGCUAAGAUUAAUUACUAGGUUGAUAAUAUAAGCUCAAAACAACAUUUAACUGUUGCGGAAAUGUGGGUUGAGCAAUUACUAAUACUGCAACUUCUGAAGAAAUAUAAAUGUGGUGUUAAACAAAUGCAAAGAAAAUAUAACACAAUGAUUUACGUGGUUCGGCGUAAUGCUUACAUCCACAGGCAAAAACUAAAAGAUAAUUUUACUAACAAUGAAAAUUUACAAAAGUGAGAAAAAUUCACAAAACCCACAACCCCAAUACACCCAAAUGAAACCUAACUAGAACACUCAAAUGGAAGCUCUCGUAAAUUCUCUCAAAGAACUCACUUGCAAUUGCUCUCUCCAUUUCUUUCAAAUUGGGAUGAUUUACAAAUGCAUUUUGCUUCUCUAUUUAUAGGCAAAGCAUGCUCACCCACCACACGGCUUCAAUUUGACUUUAAUUGGCUAAAUUGACAAAUUUGGCAAUUGGUGCCAAAUUUGUCAUGCAAUGCAUGCUAGCUGUUCCAUGCCAUUUAUUCAAUUUGCAUAUUUUCAAAACCUAACUUUGCUUUUUUGAAAUUGGUAAGCCGACCAUUUGACUUUUCAACAUCAACUCCAUAACAAGCUGUAAUUUAAUAAAGUUAGGUCAACUCGAUAUUUUAUAUAGUACGUCAUGAGUGAGGAGGAGUUUAAGCUACAAAUCGCAGUCAUGAGUGAGGACAAAUUUGAUUCUCUCAAGAUUUUGCGUUUUGUACACGUUGAUCAUGGACUGAAUCAAAAUAGAAAAUAUUUUCACAGGAGUUUGCCUUCAAAUUGCACGAAUGGAACCAUAGAGGAAUACAUCGAAAAGUUUGUCUUCUUGCCAUGAUGUUAAGUGAGAAGAUUGAAGUUCUUAAAUUAAGCUAUGACGUUUUACCUCCACUUAGCUUGACUUCUGAAGCUGAAGACUCAUCCUUUUGCAUUGACUUUGUUGGUAUUUAAAUGACCUCGGAGUCUUGGACGUGUUUCUGAAGCAAUGUCAUGGUCUAUGAGUAGAUUUUAUUUUUUGGGUAAGAAAGGGAAAGUCUGUCGUUAGGAAAACAUCCUGACAACGAGAUGGUGAGAGGGGAUGAAAAAGAAAUUAUACACUUAGUUACUUCCUCAUGAUAAGAUUCAGUGGUAUUGUAAUUUUAAUAAAAAAUUAAGACCAUUUUGCCUUUUUCCUUGUGUAAUUUAAUUUUCAGUCAAGACCACCCUCCCAUUUUAGUACAGGGAAAUUAUCAUUUGUAUAUUCUUAGUUUACUCCAUUAUCAAAAAUAUUACAACACUUUGAGGGUGUAUCAAUCGUCUACCCUAAGUUGACAAAAUGUAUUAGCUGACCACCAAACCGUUAGUUGCCGUUUAAGUAUGAUGAUAUCAGAAGGGUAAUUUGGUUUUUUCAUAUGAUACAAGUGAUAAUUUAAGGGUAUACAAGUGAUAAAAAGAGAAUUUAAGGGUAUACAAGUGAUAAUUUUCAAGGGUAAAAUCGUCAAUUCACUGUAAUUCCGUUAACUUUCAAACGGCAACUAACGGUUUGGUGGUCGGCUGAUACAUUUUGUCAACUAAGGGUGGACGAUUGAUACACCCUCAAAGUGUUGUAGUAGUUUUGAUAACAGAGCAAAUAUAAGGUAUACGAAUGAUAAUUUUCCUUUAGUAUAAAAGCCUAUACAAAUGUACGUUUUACUCAAUGUUUACAUAGAAACAAAUGGCGCGAAGACGAUUUGUCAAUCUAGUACCACUCUCGUAUACUUGGUAAGAUUUGGCUUCACCAAAUUGUAGCCUAUAUUUUACUUUAAUGAGAAAAUCAAAUAAUAUAUGUUUGAACAAAUAAUUUUCUUUGCUCUAUAUACUUUCUUAAAAUGUAUGGAGUGGGUAAAGUAUAAAUUGAUCUCUUAGCCCGUUGACUCCUCCAAAAUUCAAACUCAAUUUAAUGGUAAGUUAAAUAAUGCUACUUGAAAAUCAUUCCACCAAAUAUCAUAAAAACUAUAAUUAAGUUUCACUGAUUAUUGAAUUAUAGAAUGUGCUAUCAUUUCCUAGCUAGAAUUUGUUUAAUUCUAUUAAUUUACAAUCAUUUUUAUUUUAUUUAAUUAAUUAAAGUGAAUUUAUUAUGUAUAAGUUCUAUAUAUGUAAAAUUUUAAAAUCUAAUGUUGAAUUGAAUUGUACUGAACUUUUUAUAAUUUUUUAUCACGCCUGCAAAUUUAACAGUUUUGUAUUAAUAUUGAUAGCACAUAAUAUAUAGGAUUAAGAGAGAUUGGUUUCGAGUUGCUACAAGCAUUUUGGGAUUGCAUGCACAAGGGUUUAUAAACAAAGGGUGCAAUUAAUUACCCCAAACGAGGGUGCAUUUUUAUGAUGAAAUAAAAACUACGUGCGGGGUUGUAAAAGUGGCUCCAUAAUUAAUGUACAUUAACAUUCAUCUAGCUAUCACCUCCGAAAAUGAUACAGCAUAAGCCGAGCAUUUUUCCAAUUGUGUUGUAGAUAAUAGUUCAAUCCCAAUUUCAUCAACUUGUUUUGAGAAAGGAGGCUUCUUGGGAGUAUUAAUAUUUGUGGUUCCAUUCUUGAGCAUUGAGGAAACUUCCAGCAUUGAAGGUCGGUCGUUUGGAUUCUCCUGGACACACAACAAAGCUAUUUCCAGACAUCUCAUUAAUUUACAAGGGGAAUUUGUAUUGUCUAGGAAUGAAUCCACAAACUCCACGCCUUUGCCACCUUUCCACAACUGAUAUGCCUGAAAUUAUCAAGUACCAUCUCGUUACAUAAUUUAUACUUCUUAAUUAAGUGCGCAUAUGUGUACUCAGGGUUACUAUAGCCGAAGAAACUUACGUGCUCUAGAAUGCUUAAAUUUUCAUUGAUGCCACAUAACACUGAAAGCCUCUUUCCACUUAUGAUUUGUAGAAGUAAAACUCCGAAACUAAAAACGUCUGAUUUGGUAGAGUAUACACCUUGUCUGGCGUACUCAGGAGGAAUAUAGCCUCUGCAUUCAAAAUAACCAAGUAUAUAUGAGUAAGGGAUUUUGCAAUUUAAUAAAUUUGUAAAACCCAUUUUAAAUUGUGGUAAAAGUCCAUUCCGCAUUUUAUUAAAGUGCUGAAUUCCUUAUUCGAAACCCAAUAUAUGUAUAACAAACAGAAGCUUGAGUAAAGGAUAUCAUUUAGUUGUGAUAUACUUACAUUGUUCCCACAACUUGUUCUGAUUCGCGUCGAGACUCUCUUUUGCAAAAAUUCUAGCCAUACCAAAAUUUGAAAUUUUAGGUUUCAUAUCUUGACCUAACAAAACAUUACUGGCUUUCAAGUCUCGAUGAAUAAUAGUCAGUCUUGAGUAUUCUUGGAGGUAUAAAAGUCCUUGAGUUAUCCCUUCAAUGAUAUGAACAUGUUUUUUCCAAUCCAAAAGAAGUCUUCUGAUGGGAUCUACAACAAAUAUAUAGUUUUGGACAAUAAGUGAUAUACAAGCGAAUUAUAUACACAAUUGAUAUUAACUUGAUUUCAGAACAAACCAAAAAGGUAGCAAUCCAAGCUUUUGUUUGGCAUGUAUUCGUAGACCAGCAUCCGUUCCUCACUGUCAAUGCAAAAACCUAAAACUCUAAUAAGAUUUACAUGUUGGAGUUUUGCAGUAAGAAUAACCUCAUUCUUAAACUCCUCAAAUCCCUGUGCGGAUGAUUUCGAAAGUUUCUUCACUGCUAUCACCACUCCACAGGGUAAUACACCCUGCAACCCAAAAAAAAACCACGUUCAUAUAAAGCUUUCACUAAUUAGAGACGCUGAGAAAUGUUAGCCAAACAAUAUGCUACCCCCCAAAGUUGAGGGCACCAUUUUAAGUCCUUUAGUCCCCAUGGACGCAAAAUGUAAAUCUCCUCUCACAGAAUAUGGAUAUGGGUAGAGGUAUCUUCCUCAAAUGUUAGUCAAAGUAGUUAUAUCCCUCUAGUGUGAGGUUAAAGGUCUCAUCUCUAAUAGGCAUAGAGUUUUAAAUUAUAUGUUUUGGGCCUCUGAAUUCUACGACGAGUGUACAAAUUCAAACUUCCGAUAGGAUCCAAAUUGCAACAUUGUGGAUUGUAACAAAUUAAAAUAUAGGUACACACACACACACACAUGUUACCUUGUAAACAGGACCAUAUCCACCCUCCCCAAGGUUAUUUCUAAUUGAAAAUCCCUCGGUGGCCGCCUCAAUAUCAGCCAAACUAUAUACUCUGAGAUUAGGAACAUUUCUGUUAAAGUCUCCAGCUUCUGUUUCAUUAUUUUCUCUCGUGUUUGAUGCUUUAGCAGAAUCCUCUGUUCCUAACAUCAACCAAGAGUAAAUAUUAGAUAAUUAAUUGUAUGUCAGCCUAAGUUUUAUAUAUAUAUGAAAUGCAUGCUUAAUUAUAAUUGGUAGCUGAAGCUUGUUACCUUCUAUUAACUUGAGCCUUUUCAUCUGGUUGUAUUUAUAUGCACAACAACUUAGAAGGAGAGUCAAAGCUGCCGCUGCAGUCGAAAUGAGUACCAAGGACAGAUGGCGGUUAUUACUAUGUUCAUCUUUGUCAGCUGAAGCAGAAGUAAUCCUGUCUUUUUGUGCUGGAAAUAUGUAUAGUUCAGCAAUUAAUAAUAACUAGCUAGAGAUGCCAUAACAAUCAUUAUUAAUCAGAGAGAACAAUUAUUGCAUAGAUAAAUACCUGCAGCUUGAGAAAGUACCCAAUUAUGAUCGUCAUAAUCAACUCGCCAAACAUAGUAACCAAGAAAUCUCUUCUCUUUGGCAUAGGCGAUCUUAGCUCUAACAGCCUCCACAUCAUCAAAACCAAACCAAAUCGUCCCAGUGGAGAAGUAAUUCACCACAUAAGUUGAAUUGUACAUAACUUGAACAUUAGGACCAUAGGUCUUGAUGUGAUUCUUGAUAUCCCUAUAGGUCACAAGGCCACCAUUACUCAUAGCUGGUCCUGCUGCUGCUACUCCAAUACCAUUGUCUUCAGGUUUCACAAGCGUCCAUGCAUAGCCGUAGAAAGGCAAACACAAAACCAACUUAUCAGCCAAUAACCCUCUCUAAAUCCAUGCCCUUAAAACCUGAUCAGUACUGUCAAAGAAGCUCAUAAUGCAUGGAAGGAUGCAGCACACGUGUGAGAUGAAUAUAGUCAGCUGAAUCAAUUGAAGAGUGGAGUGCCAGCUCAGCUGAAGUUAGUUAGACACGUUAAGAUCAAGUUUUAGUUAGUUCUUCAUUUUCUGUUAAGCUGAAAAACAGCUGAGUAUAAAUACAAGCAUAUUGUAAUCAUUUUGAGGUUAAGUAAAAAUAAAAUAAAGCAUUUGAUUCCAGAAUUUCUUUUACAAAUUUUCUUAGCACUUUAGAUACAUUUUCUCAGUAACCAAACAGUUUGUUCAUUCAAGCUUUUAAGCUUUCAAACAUGGUAUCAGAGCCUUACAGAGCUAGUUCCAGUAAUCAACAGUCAAGCCUUCGUAAUCAAACAACAAACAACACAAAUCAACCUACUCAAAUCAACUUCUCUUUUUCUAAUCCUAUCAAGCUAGAUCGAUCCAAUUACUUACUCUGGCGUUCUCAAGUUUUGGCCUCAAUAAGAGGCAAUCGUUUGGAAGAUUUCGUCACAAGAGCCAGAUCAGUACCUGAUAAGUGUCUUCUGUUAACUGAAGCAGAUGGAUCUACACAACAAGUUGAAAAUCCAGAAUAUCAGAUCUGGAGAUCACAGGAUCAGACACUUCUUGGCUGGCUACUGUUGUCAUUAAGUGAAGGUAUCUUAAGUCUUGUAAUCAAUUGUGAGAGUUCAUUUGAUAUAUGGAAAACUUUGGAAAAGAAAUUUGGAGUUCAAUCUGAAGCUCGAGUUCUUCAGCUCAGAUACGAACUAAACACUCUUAAAAAGGAAGCCCUUAGUGUUGAAGAUUAUUGUAUUAAAAUGAAAGCAAUAGCAGAUAAGCUGGCCAGUGCUGGUAGUUCAAUUACAGAGAAGGAUCUUAUGCUAACUAUUCUUAAUGGAUUAGGAUCAUGAUAUCGUGAUAUUGCUACAUUUAUAACUGGUUCACGAAUGGAGUUUGAUGAUGCUUAUGCACUGUUACUCACUCAUGAGACUAGAUUAGAGCAGGAGCAAGGUGACAAAAGUAUGUUUAAUGCAAACUAUGCAUACACAAAUGCAUAUUAUCCUAGAGCUUAUUUUGCACAGCCUAGAAGAAGUUUUAAACGAGGAGGUUAUUCUGGUGGUAGAACUCCUUUCUUUGGCAGAGGAAAUAUGAAUUACUCUCCAAGAAUGUUUAAUGGAGGCUUUAGAAAUGGAUAUGGCAGAGGAUUUUUUCCUGGAAAUAACUCAACUGAUUUCAAUCAUUUUCCAGCUCCUAGGAAUCCAGUACCUAGGAACUCAUCUUUUCCAGCUAGAAAUGGAUCUGCUAACAUGAGUGGAUCACAAGGAAGUUUUAAUAAUGCUGGAGAGAUGACAUGUCAGAUUUGUUUUAAGAAUGGCCAUACUGCUGAUGUCUGUUGGCACAGAUUUGUUGAAGAUUUUGUACCUGUUCCAAGAGGUUUUGGCAAGGGAAGAACACCAAGAGCAGCAUAUUUAUCAAACUUUGAUGGCUCCAUUUCUAAUCCAGAUUUUGGCUAUGAAAAUCUUAAUACUAUGUUUCCAGGUUAUGACUCUAUAUCUGGCAAUAGCUACUAUUCUGGAAUGGAUGGAUACACUUCUGGAGCAGCUAGAACAGCUUUCAUGGCAAAUUUUGAAGGGACUGCUGAUGAUGGAUGGUAUCUGGAUAGUGGGGCAACUCACCAUUUAACCAACAAUAUGGAGAAUUUGCAGAUCAAUGAAGAGUUUAAAGGUACUGAUUAGCUUAUCAUUGGAAAUGGUCAAGGUUUGUCUAUUACUCAUGUUGGACAUGCAUUUCUGGUAUUAAGAGCUUCUAAACCCUUAUCUACACAUGCUAGAAUAAAACUUAAAGAUAUGUUACUUGUCCCUUCAAUUACCAAAAAUCUAUUAAGUAUUUCUAAACUCACAUCUGAUAACCCUUUAUCUGUUGAAUUCUGUGGAAAUGCUUGUUUUGUGAAGGACAUGAAGGGUCAAGUUCUUCUGCAGGGUAUUGCUGAAAAAGGCCUUUACAAGCUGCUGCUGAACUCAAAUUCUCUUUCUUCAUCACCUACAUCUUAUCUUUGUAAAUCCCAGCCAAAUAAACUAGUCUCUAUGUUGUCUGCUUUCAAACACUCUGAUAAUGGUACUCGAGCUUGUUUUCAGUUUGUUUUAAAUAAGUGUAAUGCCAAACCUAAUGUAAUAACUUUGUUACAUAGAAAGUUUGGUCAUCCAAGCUCAAUGACAUUGAUGCAUUUGCUCAAAUCAUGUAAACAGUUUAAAGUCUCUCCAAAAGACAUGUUAUCUUCUGCAAGUACUUUAUGUGAAGCAUGUCAGCUAGGCAAAGUCCAUAAGCAACAUUUCUCAAUAACCGAAACAAAAACAAAAGAGGUAUUAGAAUUGAUCCAUACUGAUCUUUGGGGGCCUUCACCCACUGUGUCUAGAGAUGGAUACAAAUAUUACAUUAGUUUUGUGGAUGAUUACACUAGGUACUCUUGGAUCUAUCCUCUUAAGCUCAAAUCACAAGCAUUUGAAGUUUUCAAAUUGUGCAAAACUCAAGUUGAAAAUCAGUUUGAUACCAAAAUUAAGAUGCUACAAUCUGACCUUAGGGGAGAGUUUAGAGCAUUUACUGAUUUUCUCAAUCAAAAUGGAAUAAUCUUUAGGCACUCAUGUCCUUACAUCCAUCACCAGAAUGGUCUUGUUGAGAGGAAGCACAGGCAUAUAGUUGAACUAGGAUUAACCCUCAUGGCUCAAGCAAAUCUUCCUCUUCAAUUCUGGUGGGAAGCUGUUCAUACAGCAGUGUAUCAUAUUAAUAGAUUGCCUACCCCUGUUCUGAAAUUCUUAUCUCCUUAUGAGAAACUUUUCAAACACAAACCAGAUUACACAUUUCUAAAGUGUUUUGGUUGUCUUUGUUAUCCAUACUUGAGAGACUUUAACAAACAUAAGUUUGAUUUUCACACUUCUAAAUGCAUUUUUAUUAGAUACAAUCCCUCUUAUAAAGGAUACAAAUGCUUAGCAAGUUUUGGUAAAGUCUAUGUUCUUAGACAUGUCAUUUUUUAUGAAACACAUUCCCUUAUCCAAUAAACAUUGCAUUCUCAACAGAAAAUCACAUAUCUUCUAAAACCUCAGUGUCUAAUUUCUCUCAGCAACAUAUCUAUCAUCUUUCUACAAUAGCCUUACUCAACAGCAGCUUUGAAGGUCUUCAGUCAGCAAGCUCAGCAAGAAAUGAACAAAUGCCCUUUGGUCCCACACAUACAGAUGUUUUGAAUCAACAAGAACAUCCAUCACACACAUCCUUAGAGUUAUCAUCCUCAACCUCACCAUCACCAAACACAUUACUAAUGCAAUCAUCCAUUCUACAACCAGAGGAAACUUCUUCACAGAAUAUAGACCAAAUUCAAACCAGAAAUCAUUCCCAACCAUCUUCUCAUCCAAUGAUUACCAGAUCGAAAUCUGGAAUCUUCAAACCAAAGGUCUAUACAGUCACCUUAGCCAACAAAGAACCCAGUACAGUUCAAGAAGCUCUUAGUAGUCAGAAUUGGCAUCAAGCCAUGGUAGAUGAGUAUGAAGCUUUGAUGAAGAAUAAGACUUGGUCACUGGUACCAUUUUCAAAUGCAUACAAAGUAGUUGACAACAAAUGGGUGUUUAGACUCAAGCAAAAUACUGAUGGAAGCAUAGCCAAACACAAGGCCAGAUUGGUUGCCAAAGGUUUUCAGCAAACUGAAGGUGUGGAUUACUUUGAGACAUUUAGCCCAGUUGUAAAAGCUUCAACAGUGAGGAUUGUUUUGAGUUUAGCUGUGAUGCAUAAAUGGAAAAUAAGGCAAGUGGAUGUGAAUAAUGCCUUUUUGAAUGGAGAAUUGACAGAGGAUGUCUAUAUGUAUCAGCCUGAAGGUUUUAUUGAUCAACAAAAACCUAAUCAUGUAUGCAAGCUGAAGAAGGCCUUGUAUGGCUUAAAGCAAGCUCCUAGAGCUUGGUAUGACAAGCUUAAGAAUUGUCUGAUUGCUAAUUGGAAAUUUCAGAAUUCAAAGGCUGAUACCUCUCUUUUCUUCAAAGAAGUGCAGGGCUCAAUGAUACUCAUCUUAAUCUAUGUAGAUGACAUUCUAAUGACAGGACCUGACAAUGGUGAACUGGAGAAAUUCAUCUCAAAAUUCAGUAAGACUUUUGCUUUAAAAGACUUGGGAAUUCUGUCAUAUUUUCUAGGAAUAGAAGUGUCCUAUGCUGAAGAUUGCAUCUAUCUAUCUCAGAAGAAAUAUAUCUUGGAUUUGUUAUCCAAAGCUAAUAUGCAAAAUUGUAAAGGCUGUGACACUCCCAUAGUUACUGGAUCAAAGCUUCAGAAAGAAGUCACAGGCUGUUUGGGUCAAUAUAUUGAGGAUGCAACAAGCUAUAGAAGCUUAGUUGGAGGUUUACAAUAUCUAGUAUUAACCAUACCAGAGAUAGCAUUUGCUGUGCAUAAGUUGAGCCAGUAUGUGACAGCUCCAACACUCCAGCAUGUUAUGGCUUGUAAAAGAGUUCUUAGAUACCUCAAGGAGACUGCAGAUUAUGGUUUGAAGUUUUCAGCAGGUGGGGAAAUGAAGAUCACAGGAUUUACAGAUGCAGAUUGGGCAUGUGAUGUUGAUGACAGAAAAUCAAUAGGAGCCUAUUGCAUUUAUUUUGGAAGCAAUCUAAUUUCCUGGUCAUCCAAGAAGCAGGCUGUGGUUACACGAUCCAGUGCAGAGAGUGAAUAUCGUGCUCUUGCUUCUGCAAGUGCAGAGAUAACAUGGAUCCAGUCGUUAUUCAAUGAACUUAGCAUUAAGUGUACUUCAUUACCAACUAUCUGGUGUGACAAUAUAAGUGCAACAGAGUUGGCCAAGAAUCCAGUUUAUCAUUCAAGGACUAAACACAUUGAACUGGAUAUGCACUUUAUUAGAGACAAGGUUUUGGCAAAGGAGUUAGAGAUUAACUAUAUUCCCAGCGAGGAGCAAAUUGCUGAUGCUUUGACAAAGCCUCUGACAUUUAUUCAUUUCAACUAUUUCAGAGCCAAACUCAAUGUGCAACCAUGCCCCUUGAGUUUGAGGGGGACUGUCAAGGAAGCUCAUAAUGCAUGGAAGGAUGCAGCACACGUGUGAGAUGAAUAUAGUCAGCUGAAUCAAUUGAAGAGUGGAGUGCCAGCUCAGCUGAAGUUAGUUAGACACGUUAAGAUCAAGUUUUAGUUAGUUCUUCAUUUUCUGUUAAGCUGAAAAACAGCUGAGUAUAAAUACAAGCAUAUUGUAAUCAUUUUGAAGUUAAGUAAAAAUAAAAUAAAGCAUUUGAUUCCAGAAGUUCUUUUACAAAUUUUCUUAGCACUUUAGAUACAUUUUCUCAGUAACCAAACAGUCUGUUCAUUCAAGCUUUUAAGCUUUCAAACAAGUACUUCUAGCAUAGCCGCCGCUACUUGAGCCAUACAGAGCCGCAUGUGCCUCGGUGAAGUUUGUUGACAUAGGCUCGUAGUAUUCAGCUGUAACAACAUGAACCUAAUUCAAGUUUCGUUGCAUCGAUUUCAAAAGGUACGAAUUGUCUGGUGGUAAAUAACGAAAUCUUGCGGUCAGGAUCAGCUGGGAUUGCUGGCGGCCAGAGUUUUUUGCCUCUAAUUGUGUAGCAGCUCGGCACUCGUCAAAGAAUAAACCCGUAUUGGACAUAUCGGUGCUCGUGUUCGGAGCUUUCCAAGCAAAGUCUAGGCCCUGAAAGCCAUAAAGCCUAGCUAUUCUUAUUGAAGAGUCGAUGAAAGAUUUCCUGUGAGAAGAAUUUCUCACCAUUGAAGAAUAUAUAGAAUAGUUUGUAUAUCUUCCUUGUCUAAUGGAGAGAAGUGUAGUGGUUGAUGGGUUCUUUUGUUUCACAGUGCCUGUAAAUUUGGGGAAUAUUUGAUUUCCAUCAAACGGUGAUGAUAAAGAUAGCUGGUAAGUGGUGGAAUUGAUAUCAGCGUAAGAGCAGAUAAGGUGAGUGAAGAGAUCAUAAUUUAUGCCCGAAAUGGUGGACACUUCGCUUGGAUCCAAGUAGCCGACCCUGAUCCACGGUUUUGCUUUCGCGGGAUGAAAUUCUGAAUAGAACAACAUGUGGAAGAUGAUGCUGAUAAUUAUGGAUGCCAUUUGAGAGGCUUAUGCUUCUUAAUUACCACUUCGAUGGGAAUGGAAAUGAAUGCACACUAAUAGAAAUUAAAUAAACACAAGUUUCACAGUUCAUUAAGCUCUCAUGUGUACUAUUAACGUAUAGGUUCAUUUCGUUGCCCAAAAAAAUCUUAUGUGCUCCUGAUAGGGACACAUACAUUGGAUGAUAAGAUGAUGAUAGGCGAUGCGACCAUUGCCCAAGAACUAAGAUUUUCUUCUAUCGCGUGGGUGACUUUUCAUGAAGAAAAAUGAUGUUUUGAUUGACAUAUGGUUAAACCGAUGCCAUAUUUCGGGCUACAAAUAUCAGUAUUGUUUUAUUAAAUAAUUAAAAAAAUUAAUUUUACGUGCAUGUUGAAGGUAAUAUUGCAGUCUUUUGAGCCUGUGUUGAAUUUCAUUCGUGUGCGUUCAUUUAUUAUCUAUCCUCUUUUUUCUCUGUGUGUCUGCUAGCUCUAGUCAUCUUAAAAGAAUAACAUGUUUAAUUAAUGCAUGUAAAUGCACCGCAAAAGUAGUUAAGAAAGACUUGAUCAAAGAUCAGACAUUUUCUCUCUACUCAAAAAGUAGUUAUUGGACUAAUUAAGAUUCUAAUCCCUUUAAGAAAUAUUGAAAAAGGGUUACUGUCACUACUUCAGUCCUUGUUGUUACAUAUAUAUAUAUAUAUAUAUAUAUAUAUAAAUUUAAAGAAGCAUCACAUAAAUCCUUCCUAAUUAUAUUUUGUUUCAUUCAAGUUGUUGACUUAAUUUGUCUGCUUGGAAAAAUUAGUAAAAAGGUAAAAAUAAAAAAAUGUAAAUUCUACUUAUUAGACUAAAUAUAUAGUAUAAAUUUGCAGCAACCAGCAAAAGUUUGGAAUAUGAAAAAUCCUAUUAAUUUUUAAAAAAUCUCCGAAAGUUUGAAAACUAAUAUUUUAAGGUCCUUUUACAAUAACCAUAAUUAACAUGAAUUUACUAAAUUAGGCAAACCCGAAUUACUACCAUAUAAUAAAAUUUUAUAACAGAAAUAAGAAAACAAAACAAAUAGCAUCAAAUCUUAUAUCUAAAAAAAAAUCUUGAAAUAAAUAGAAAAAAUAAGAAAAUAACUAAAACUUGCAAAAUGACCAUGAAAGAAAUGAAAUUUCCGACUGAACCAAAGGGCCAAUACACAUAGCAUUAUUGGACUAGAUCUAUCAUGGUGCAAACUUCAAAACAGUAUAUUAUAUUUUCUAAAUGGACACAUAUAGGUUAAGUUAUGAUAUUAAAAAAUAUCCUAUUCAUCUUACACAACCAUUCUAUGUCACUAUAUCUAUACACUAAUAAUAUAACCCAAACAUUUAUGGAGCAUAACUCACAGACCUCCACUAAUUACACUAAAGUUUACUCUCAUUUUAUAAGAGAGAGAAAUGUUCUCGUUCUCCAUUUAUGGGGGAUUAAACCAAAUGGUCUGUUUUUGAUUUUCUGGUAAGUUGUGUAACGUUGGAGCUUUUUGGCACUUCUUUGACGAAAAGUCGUUCUCUUCGACAACCCAAAAUUCGGGCCAAUGGGCAAUUAUGAAAGUCCAUUGGAUGCAUUGGACCAAACUAAAAGUCCAUAUAUAUAUGUAUAUAUAUAUAUAUAUUCAAUAAAUGAAAUGAAAAAAUGCAAUUGGCUUGCAGUUGCAAAGCUUCUUUGUUUAUUAUUAUAUAAUAUAAUAUAAUAUAAUUUUAUAUCAUUUUGAAUAUCAAAAUUUUAUUUCAAAAUUUAUUUAACACUAGUGUUUAAUAUAAGAUACAAUACUACCAAAAUUCUAUUCAAUAGUUUAUUUAAAAUAGUAUUGACUAUUAAAAAUAAGAAUUUACACUAAUAUUAAAUAUUAAAUUCAACAAUUAGUAACAUUAUUUAAAAUAAUUAUAGUAUUUAAAUGGUUAUUUAUCUUUAUUAAAUAAGAUUUAACAUAAUCCUCUGCGACAUUUUACUAAAUAAAUACAGUACUAUAUAUAAUCCAAUCUAAUCUUAAACAAUAAUCUAUUCUAUUCCUACCUUCCAAAUAUAAACACAAUAGAUAAUGAGAGCAUGAGCUAUGAGAUUAUAAAUCAUGGAUCAAGGGAGUAGAGAUACAGACCUUGAGAUCAUAGAUCGUAGACUAUUAGAGACUAAAGACCGUGGACAAAUCCGAGUACAUUAAAAAAAGGGGAAUUUUAGUCAAAUGUAGAUUGAUAUUAAGGAAUUCAGCAAGCAAGCUACAAGAAUAUCCAAAAGCGUGUAAUUUAUGUUUAAGGAAACAAGUGGAGAUAGAGAUGAAAUUGUAAAUUCAUCCCAAUCUUAAGUGGCUUAAUUCAAGAUGUAUGUUACCUACAAGCACAAUAAUAUGUACACGUUAUGUAUACAUGCAUCACAUACGUGCGUCGAUCAUCGAUGUAAAAGUAACAGUAAAUUUCUAGUAAAACAAACAUCAUUACUUUUAGUAUAAGAUGUAAAAAAUAUCAAUUAAUAACCAUUAGAAAAUAAAAAUUUAUGUAAUUGAUGCAGAUAAAUGGAAUCAAGUAGUAACAUUUCCUUCUCAUUGAAGAGAAAAGAUUAAAAAAAAGAAAAGGGGGGGGGGGGGGGGGGGGGAGGAGCGCAAACAUGACAAUUAUUUUUAUCCGCACGUGCCAUGAUAAUCGAUAAUCCGAUAUACCAACCGCGUCUAAUUGUCUGAAUUCUCAAGCUUAUCAAGCUUGCUCAAUCGCACCGCAGACACUGACCAUGGGAGAUUAAUCACCACUCGCAGUAUUAGGCGCGUGAAGGACACAUUCGCCAAUAAUUUAUAGCGGACAGUAGCAUUCCCGAUGCUGCGCGGAGAAAAAUAGUUGGGCUUGCGAAAGUUAAAUUGACUUGACUCGACAGAGUGAAGAAUGGUGGUGGUUGCUGUUAAGCAGUCGGUACUUCUGGCGACUGCUUGGCUUACACGCAGUUCCCGGGGGUGUCAUUUGACUGUGAAAGAGAAUUUUGGCUUUAUUGAUAUCUUGUUGGAUUUGGAAUUUUGGAUGGCUUCGUGUAGACCAUAAGACACGAUAUCGUUCAUAACACGUUAGCAUUCUUUCUCACGGGAGAAAAACUCGGGUGGGAGCAGAUGUACCAUCUCAACUGCCGUUUAUAAAUGGCUGUCAAAUAAUUAAUCAAAAUUUUAUUAUUUACGGUUAUAAUUGGAAUGAUAAAAAAUCAAUUCGAUGUUAUUCUUUGUGGCUCUGCUUAGAAUACUAAAAAAUCAAAUCGACUUAUUUAUUUUUAUAUUGAUCAUUACAAGUCUCUUGAAUUUUUUACCUACUUCAUUAACUUGUUAUUUUGAGUUGUACGUAACAUGGCUUUUUUUGUUUUUUACUUUACUUUGGUUUUCUUUAUAACCCAUAAAAAUUUUCUUGUUAAGACUGUGUGAACCAAUUGAAACUUCAGAUUCAUACUAGAACUAUGAUGAUUUGAUAAGAGCUUCAAAUUAAAUCCACAGAUUCUAUGAAAAGAAAAGAAAAGAAAAAGUCUUUUAUUGGUAAAAGAAGAAAGCUCUUCGGCACUGAUCCGAAGAAAAAUCAUUCUCCAUACAAUGAGCAAAACAAAGUCCAAUUCGCAUUACAUAGAAGUAAAACCGAAGCAUUGGACUAAAAGCAUACAUUAGUCUUAUUUUUCGUUACUGAUAACAUUUUUUUUCCCUUAUAUUAUCACCUUAAUUAAGAAAAAUAAUAAUUUGUUUAACUAAUUACAAAAAAGGAUGGCUAUAUACAAUAUUCUUGUGUUGGAUGGCCUUAAAAGUCAAUUCUUUUGAAACAGGAAAACUGGUAUCGUUUUUCAAAACACAAAAAUAUUAUGUUAAGAAAAUGAAUGGUCUUUAAGAGUUAUGACAAUGAUAUCAAUAAAAUUACAAAAUCUUAAGAGUUUAUAGAUGUAGUUAGUGAUAUUACAUUACAUUAAUUAAUACAAUGCAAAUUGUUUACUAAUAGAGCCUCAGGAGAGUGAUUCAUUAUUUAGUUGGCCAAUUAAACAACUGCAGCAGUCACUAGCAGCUUGCCAAGAGCUAGCAUAGAUCAAUUGUUCAUCUACCAACCAAUUUUGAAAUUGUUACAUCAUUACUUGAACAUAUUUCCAAUCCAAUCGUGGCUUUGUUUUGUUCAUCUUCAUAAGCUUUGUUUGAGAAACUUGCAGGCUUCUUUGGAGUCAUUAUAUCAGCUGUAUUUUCAUUUUCGAUCAACGAAGAAAUUUCUAGUAUAGAAGGUCUAUUGUUUGGGUUCUCCUGAACACAUAGCAAAGCUACUUGCAGACAUGUCAAUAAUUUCCAUGAGGAAUGCGUAUCAUCUAGUGAUGGAUCCAUUAACUCCGUGCCUUUCCCAUCCUUCCACAACUCGUAUGCCUGAAAACAUCAAAUAUGUUAUUGACUAACAUUCAAUUAAUUAGCACUGUAAUGUUUUGAUUCAGUGAAUAUUAAAAAGGGGGUUAUGAAGAAACUUACAUACUCUACAAGGCUUAGAUUUUCAUUUUGACCAUAUCGAAUGAAAAGUCUUCGCCCACUUAUAAUUUGCAGAAGCAAAACCCCAAAACUGUAGACAUCAGAUUUAGUGGAGUAGAUGCCUCUUCCGACAUAUUCAGGAGGGAUAUAGCCUCUGUAGUAUCAAGUAAUUAUAAAUGUCAGUGUUUGACAUAAAAGAUUAAGUUGAUUGGUAAAGGUUCAACAAUAAUAUUAAAGGCAUGUCAGACAAUAAUAGACAAAUAUACACUUACUGUGUUCCAACAAUUCGAUUUGUGUUUGCUUCAAGAUCAUCUUUCACAAAAAUUCUAGCCAAGCCAAAAUAUGAUAUUUUAGGUGUCAAAUCUUCAUCCAACAAAAUAUUACUAACUUUUAAGUCUCGAUGAAUAAUUGUUAAUCUAGAAUAUUCUUGGAGAUAGAGAAGCCCCUGAAUAAUUCCUUAAAUGAUAUAAAUACGUUUUUUCAAAUCCAAAAUAAGCCUUCGGAUGGGAUCUGCAUCAAAUGUAAACUUAGUUGGACGGUCAGCACCAUUAGCAUUUGGAGACAGAGAAAUGCAAAUUGAGGCACAAAAAUUAGAAAUUAAGCAGUUAAGCACACACCAAAAAGGAAAUAGUCUAAGCUUCGUUUUGGCAUAUACUCAUAGAUGAGCAUAUAUUCUUGCGUGUCGAUGCAAAAACCCAAAACUCUGAUCAAAUUUAUGUGUUGAAGCUUUGCAGUAAGCAUAACCUCAUUCUUGAACUCCUCAAAUCCUUGUGUGGAUGUCUUCGAGAGUUUCUUCACUACUAUUAUUUGUCCAUCAGGUAAUGCACCCUGCAAGCACCCCCCAAAAUAUAUGUUUUUUUAAAAAUCAGUGUGUUCACACACACACACACGUAGCUUGCACUAAUUAAUUAAUAAGCUAAGAGAUAACCAAGCUACCGAUACAUAACCUUGUAAACAGGACCAUAUCCACCCUCCCCGAGCUUAUUUUCGAUUGAAAAUCUAUCCGUGGCCACCUCAAUAUCAGCCAAGCUAUAUUCUCUCAGAUCAGGAUCAUUGCUGUUAAAAUCUCCAGCAUCUGCUUGACUAUUUUCGCUGUCCUUUGAUGCUUUGGCUGAGUCAAUUACGGUCCAAUUAAUAUCAACCAAGAGAAAGAAAGCUAAUUUAAGUGAAUUGCCCACUUCUUCAUCUGUGUUAAAUGGAAUAGAAGUAAAAAUAUUCCUAAUCCCGUGUAGAAGAAGUUACCUUUUAAUUUGAGGUUUUUCAUCCAGCAGUAGUAAUACAGUAAAAAACCAAUUAGAAGAAUACAAGCUGCCGUUAUAGGGAAAACAAUUGCCCAUAAUAGUCGCUUAUUUUGUCGAUUCUUAUUUUCCUCUUGAGCUGAAAAGUCAAAUCACUUUGUGUUAGUUAAACAUUUGAUGGUCAAAUAAAGAUCUUAAUUGAAGUCAUUAUGCAGAGAACUGAUCAAAUGGAUAGCAGGCAGUGACUGAGGCUUUGCAUUUGCUUACCUGCAGCUUGAGAAAGCAUCCAAUAAUGAUCAUAGGAAACUAGCCACACAAAGUAACCACGUAGUUUCUUCUCCUUGGCAUAUGAAACCUUCACUCUAACGGCUUCGACAUCAUCAAAACCAAACCAAAUCUUCCCAAUCGAGAAGUAAUUCAUCACAUAAGUUGAAUUGUACAUAACUUGAACGUUAGGACCAUAGUGCUUGAUGCGAUUCUUGAUUUCCUUAUAAGUCACAAGGCCGCUAGAAUACAAAGCUGGUCCUGUUGCUGCUGCACCAAUACCGUUGUCCUCAGGUUUCACAAGCGUCCAUGCAUAGCCAUAGAAAGGUAAACAUAAAACCAAUUUAUCAGCCGAUAACCCUUCCUCAAUCCAUUCCGUGAUUCCGUAUUCAGUAUUGGAGAUACUAUUUGGAUCAUACAGAGCCGCGUGAGCACCAGUAAAAUUUGACCACAUAGGUUUUGUGUAUUCAGUAGUCAAAACAUGAACCCAAUUCAAGUAUUGACUUAUCGAGUCGACUGGGUAAGCUCCUGCUCUUGAGAAUGGUGAAUAUGCGACCAUUGCCGUCAAAAUCAACUGUGAUUGGCUCGAGUUAUUUCUUGCUUCUAAAUCUACGGCUGCUCGCCACUCUUUAAAGAGAAUGCCAAUAUUGUACUUAUCCCAGCUUGUGUUUGCCUGAGGCCAAGAGAGAUCUAAGCCUUGAAAGCCAUAAAGUCUUCCUAUUUUUAUUGAGGAGUCAAUGAAGGAUUUCCUAGAAGAAGGAUUGCUCGCCAUGGAAGAAUAAGUUGAAUAGUUUGCAUCAUUUCCUCCGAUGGAAAGAAGUGUAGUGAUUGAUGGGUUCUUUAUUUUGACAGUGUCAGUGAAGUUAGAGAAUUGUUUUUCAUCAGAAGGUGAUAAAGAAAGCUCAUAGGAAGUUGAAUUCGUUGAAACAAAAACAAACGUUAUGCCUUUGAUCGUGCAUUUCCAAAUAAACACAUAUUUUAGGUAAUUCCGAAAUUUACCACGAUCUCCCAUGAAUCCGAACUUGCAGCUUGUUAUGGAGCUUCAACAGAGUUGCUGCUGCUUCGGUCUAGCUUCUGAAUUCCGCUUUCUUUUCCUUCAGCUCCAGAUUCGGCUUUUCUCAGUAAGUUACUGUACACACACGGGAGAGAAACGGGAGAGAGAGAGAUGCACUGCACUCAUGCCAGAGAUUUCUUGAACAGUCAACUUCCAAUGGGCUGAAGUUACUUAAAUACAGUGGUUGAGCGCAGGGAACCCUCAUGUGUUAGUACAAAAUUACCCAUCCCAUUAUGGGCUUAAAUAACACAAUUAAGGAUAUACUUGUCCAUAAUAUACUACUGUACAGGGUAUGUCAAAAUUAGACUCAUUAACACCAUAUUUGAUCACUUAAUAAAUGAGUCUGUCAAAAUUGCUCAACAAUAUUUGACUUUAGUCACGUAUUAAUUCGGUAAAAUAUAGAAAAUAAUUAGAAUGAUUUAUGUCAGUCCACAUAAUGUGAGAAAUAAAUCUAACAGAAUUGACAUUAGCAAAACCACAUAUAAGGUGAGUGAAAAGAGCAGAAUUUACAUCUGAAACGGGGAACCCGUUGCCUGAAUCCCAGUAACCAGCUCUGAUUAAAGUUUGUGUUCCUGCAGGAAGCGAUUCUGAAAAUAUAAAAAUGUGGAGGACAAGAAUGAUAAUUUUGGAUGCCAUUGUGGGAACCUAGCUGCUUUGAGGCAUACCUAGUAAGUGAUUACAUAUAUAUGUACACACACAAUGUAAUGGAGAAAAUAUCCGAUAGCGAUUGAGAUUAGUUAUUGGACUAUAAUACAAACCUGAGGCAACUUUCAGCUCAUGAGCUUAUCUCAUAGGUCUUUAUACGAUAUCAAAGUCAAGUUACGAACGAGUGAUUCUAUACUACCUUUUAAUUUAACAAGGAGAAAGAUAAGAGAUCAACCUACACGUGACAGGGUGAUAGAAAAAAUUUAUCACAUUAGCUAAGAUUAAUUACUAUGUUAAUGAUAUAAGCUCAAAACAACACUCAACUCAAUAACAAGUUGUAAUUUAAUAAAGUUAGGUCAACUCGAUAUUUUAUAGAGUAUGUCGUGAGUGAGGAGGAGUUUAAGCAACAAAUCGAGCUCAUGAGUGAGGACACGUUUGAUUUUCACAAGAUUUUGCGUUUUGUGCACGUUGGUCAUGGACUGAAUCAACUUAGAAAAUAUUUUCACAAGAUUUUGCCUUCCAAUUGCAUGGAUGGAGUUAUAGAGGAAUACAUCGAAAAGUUCGUCUUCUUGCCAUGAUGAUAAGUGAAAAGAUUGAGGUUCUUAAAUUAAGCUAUGACCUUUUACCUCCACUUAGCUUGACUUUUGAAGCUGAAGACUCGUUCUUUUGUAUUGACUUUGUUGGUAUUUAAAUGACCUCGGAGUCUUGGACGUGUUUCUGAAGCAAUGUCAUGGUCUAUGAGUAGAUUUUUUUUUUUGGGUAAGAAAGGGAAAGUCUGUCGUUGGGAAAACAUCCUGACAACGGGAUGGUGGGAGGGAAAAAAAAAAAAAAAUUAUACACUUAGGGUCUGUUUGGAAAAAUGAUUAUAGGGUAUUAUAAUACUAUUCAUAUUGACUUAAUAUCAAUACUAUUCACAUCGAGUUUAGCUUAAUGUGGUAGUUGCCGCAUUAACGUUUUGCUUUUGUUUUUUUUUUUUUACUUUUGCUUUUUAAUAAUAAUAAAUAAUUAUAACUUUUUAAUUUAAUAUAUUAUUAUAUAAUAUCAAUUAUUAUUUUUUAUUUUUACCUCAAAAUUAUUAAAAUAAAUUAAUAAUUUUAUAAUUUAUUAUUCAUAUUUUAAUUUUUAUUAUAUUAAAAAUAUAACUAAAUAAUGUAUUAUUUAAUUAUAUAAUAAUUAAUAUAUAAAAUUAAUUAAUAUUUAAUAAGUUAAUAUAACUAACAAUAAGUACUUAAAUAAUAUAUAAAAAUUGAUUAUUAUUUAGAAAUUUAAUAUAACUAACAAUAAAUAUUUAUAUAUGAAUAAAUUUAAAUAAUAUUAAUUUAAAAUUAAUAUCAACAAAAAUAAUAACGUAAAAUAUCAUUAUGUUAUGAUAUUAUUUAGAGAUUAUUUGAUUAAAUUAUUUACUUCGAUCUUUAUUUCACAUGUUAUAUAUUUAGAAAAUACUGAAAAAUAAAUGUUAUGCUGCCGAAAAUAUAAGGCUAUAAGUUUCGAUCUUUACAAAAAAUUGUGAUGCUUUUUAACAUUUAUACUAAAAAAUAAUGUUAAAUUUCUAAAAUUUAAGACUUAUAUAUUUAGUAGUUUUCUAGGUACUAUAAAUAUUAUUUCCUAAAUAUAUAAUUUAAGUUAAUCACAAAAAAUUAAUACAAUAUAGUGUAGCAUCAAACGUUGUAUAACAUUAUUAUAAUAUAGUGCUAAUACAAUACAGCAUAAUGCAAUACACAUCCAUUAAAAUAAUAUAACAUAGUGUGCUAAACUCACCAUUAAUUACUUCCUAAUGUUAAAAUUCAGUAGUAUUGUAAUUUUAAUAAAAAAUUGAGACCCUUUUAUCAUUUAGAUGUAAUAUACUUACAUUGUUCCCACAACUUGUUUUGUAUUCGCUUCGAGACUCUUUUGCAAAAAUCCUAACCAUACCAAAAUCUGAAAUUUUAGGUUUCAUAUCUUGACCUAACAAAAUAUUACUAGCUUUCAAAUCUCGAUGGAUAAUAGUCAGUCUUGAGUAUUCUUUGAGGUAUAAAAACCUUUGAGUCAUCCCUUCAAUGAUAUGAACACGUUUUUUCCAAUCCAAAAUAAACCUUCUGAUGGGAUCUACAACAGAUAUAUAGUUUUAGACAAUAAGUGAUAUGCAAAUGAAUUAUAUACACAAUUAAUAUUAACUUGAUUUCAGAACAAACCAAAAAGGUAGCAAUCCAAGCUUUGUUUGGCAUGUACUCGUAGACUAGCAUUCGUUCCUCACUGUCAAUGCAAAAACCUAAAACUCUAAUAAGAUUUACAUGUUGGAGUUUUGCAGUAAGUAUAAUCUCAUUCUUAAACUCCUCAAAUCCCUGUGUGGAUGCUUUCGAAAGUUUCUUCAUUGCUAUCACCUCUCCGCAGGGUAGUAUACCCUGCAACCAAAAAACAAAUGUUCAUAUAAAGCUUGCACUAAUUAAAUAAGUUGAGAAAUGUUUGCCAAACAAUAUGUUUCCCUCCAAAGUUGAGGGCACCAUUUUAAGUCCUUUAAGUCCCCAUAGACGCAUGAAUCUCCUCUCAGAAAAUAUGGAUAUGGGUAGACAUAUCUUCCUAAAUAUUAGUAGAAGUAGUUAUAUCUCUCUAGUGCGAGGUCAGAGGUCUCAUGUCUAAUAGGUAUAGAUUUUUAAAUUAUAUGUUUUGGGCCUCUGAAUUUUACUCUAAGUGUAUGAAUUCAAAGUUCCGACAGAAUCCAAAUUGUAACAUUUGUGGAUUUUGUGUGUGUGUGUGUGUUAACUUGUAAACAGGACCAUAUCCACCUUCCCCUAGCUUAUUUCUAACUGAAAAUCCCUCGGUGGCCGCCUCAAUAUCAGCCAAACUAUAUACUCUGAGGUUAGGAACAUUUCUGUUAAAGUCUCCAGCUUCUGCUUCAUCAUUUGCUCUCGUGUUUGACGCUUUAGCAGAGUCCUCUGUUCCUAACAUCAACCAAGAGUAAAUAUUAGAUAAUUAAUUAAAUUUCAGUCUCAGUUACAUGUAUAUGAGUGAAAUACAUACUUAAUUAUAAUUAAUAACUGAAACUUGUUACCUUCAAUUAAGUUGAGCCUUUUCAUCCUGUUGUAUUUAUAUGCACAAAAGCCUAGAAGGAGAGUCAAAGCUGCCGCAGCAGUCGAAAUGAGGACCAAGGACAGACGCCGGUUAUUACUAUGUUCAUCUUUGUCAGCUGAAGCAGAAGUAAUCCUGUCUUUUUGUGCUGGAAAUAUGUAUAGUUCACCAAUUAAUAAUAACUAGCUAGAGAUGCCAUAACAAUCAUUAUUAAUCAGAGAGAACAAUUAUUGCAUAGAUAAAUACCUGCAGCUUGAGAAAGCACCCAAUUAUGAUCAUCAUAAUCCACUCGCCACACAUAGUAACCAAGCAAUCUCUUCUCUUUGGCAUAGGCGAUCUUAGCUCUAACAGCCUCCACAUCAUCAAAACCAAACCAAACCGCCCCAGUGGAGAAGUAAUUCACCACAUAAGUUGAAUUGUACAUAACUUGAACAUUAGGAGCAUAGUUCUUGAUGUGAUUCUUGAUAGUCCUAUAGGUCACAAGGCCAUCAUUAGUCAAAGCUGGUCCUGCUGCUGCUGCUCCAAUACCAUUGUCUUCAGGUUUCACAAGCCUCCAUGCAUAGCCAUAGAAAGGCAAAGACAUAGCCAACUUAUCAGCCGAUAGCCCUCUCUCAAUCCAUGCCUUUAAAACCUGAUCGGUACUUUUAGCAAAGCCGCCGCUACUUGAGCCAUGGAGAGCCGCAGGUGGCGCAGUGAAGUUUGUUGACAAAGGCUCGUAGUAGUGUUCAGUAGCAACAUGAACCCAAUUCAAGUUUCGUUGCAUCGAAUUCACAAGGUACGAAUUGUCUGGUGGUGAAUAAUGAAACCUUGCGGUCAGGAUCAGCUGGGAUUGCUGGCGGUUAGAGCUUUUUGCCUCUAAUUUUGUGGCAGCAGCUCGCCACUCGUCGAAAAGUAAACCAAUAUUGAGCAUAUCGGUGCUUGUGUUAGGAGAUGUCCAAGCAAAGUCUAGGCCCUUAAAGCCAUAAAGCCUAGCUAUUCUUAUUGAAGAGUCGAUGAAAGAUUUCCUGUGAGAAGAAUUUCUCACCAUUGAAGAAUAUAUAGAAUAGUUUGUAUUUCUUCCUUGUCCAAUGGAGAGAAGUGCAGUGAUUGAUGGGUUCUUUUGUUUCAUUUGUUUCACAGUGCCUGUAAAUUUGGGGAAUAUUUGAUUUCCAUCAAAUGGUGAUGAUAAAGAUAGCUGGUAUGUGGUGGAAUUGAUAUCAGCAGAAGAGCAAAUAAGGUGAGUGAAGAGAUCAUAAUUUAUGCCCGAAAUGGCGGAAACAUCGCCUGAAUACAAGUAACCGACCCUGAUCCACGGUUUUGCUUUCGCGGGAUGAAAUUCUGAAUAGAAAAACAUGUGGAAGAUGAUGCUGAUAAUUAUGGAUGCCAUUUGAGAGGCUUAAGCUUCUUAAUUAUUACCACUUCGAAGGGAAUGGAAAUGAAUGCACACUAAGAGAAAUUAAAUAAACACAAGUUUCACAGUUCAUUAAGUUCUUAUGUGUACUAUUAACGUAUAGGUUCAUUUCGUUGCCCAAAAAAAAUCUUAUGUACUCCUGAUAGGGACACACACAUUGCAUGUUAAGAUGAUGAUAGGCGAUGCGACCAUUGCCUAAGAACUAAGAUUUUCUUCUAUCGCCUGGGUGACUUUUCAUGAAGAAAAAUAAUGUUUUGAUUGACAUUUGGUUAAACUGAUGACAUAUUUCGGGCUACAAAUAUCAGUAUUGUUUUAUUAAAUAAUAAAAAUAAUAAUUUUACGUGCAUGUUGAAGGUUAUAUUGCAGUCUUUUGAGCCUGUGUUGAAUUUCAUUCGUGUGCGUUCAUUUAUUAUCCAUCCCCUUUUUUCUCUGAGUCUGCUAGCCGUAGUCAUCUUAAAAGGAUAACAUGUUUAAUGCGUGUAAAUGCACCUCAUAAGUAGUUAAGAAAGAUUUGACCAAACCAGAUAAUUUUCCUCUUAACACAGAAGUAGUUAUCGGACUAAUUAAGAUUCUAAUCCAUUUAAGAAAUAUUCAAAAAGGGUUAUUGUCACUACUUUAGUCCUUGUUGUUUUAUUAAAGAAAAAAAAAAGAUAUUUAAAGAAGCAUCACAUAAAUCCUUCCUAAUUACAUUUUGUUUCAUUCAAGUUCUUGACUUAAUUUGACUGCUUGGAAAAAUUAGUAAAAAGGUAAAAAUGAAAAAAAAAAUGUAAAUUCCAGUUAUUAGACUAAAUAUAUAUAAAUUUGCAACAAGUAGCAAAAGUUUAGAAUAUGAAAAACCCUAUUUUGUUUACGAAAUAAAGGAAAUUCGAAUCAUUUUCAAAAAAAAAAUCUCUAAAAGUUUGAAAACUAAGAUUUUAAGGUCCUUCUAGACUAACCAUAAAUAACAUGAAUUUACCAAAUUAAGCAAACUCGAAUUAUUAUUACACAAUAAAAUUUUACUAAUGGAAAUAAGAAAACAAAAUAAAUAACACUCAAAUUCGAUGUCUAAAAAACAAAGAUAAAAAUCAUGAGAGCAAUAGAAAAAAAAUAAAAUAAACUAAAACUUGCAAAAUGACCAUGAAAGAAAUAAAUUUUUUUGCUGAACCAAGGGGCCGAUACAUAUAGCCUUAUUGUACUAGAUUCAUCUCACUGCAAGUUUCAAAACAAUAUAUUAUAUGUCUUAAACAAACUCUUGUAAAUUAAGUUAUGACCUUAAAAAAUAUCCUACUCAUCUUACAUAAAUAUCCUAUGUCACUAUAUAGCUAUACAAUAAUAAUAUAAUCCAAACACUUAUGGAGCAUAACUCACGCACCUCCAUUAAUAACCGUGAAAUUUACUCACAUUUUAUAAGAGAGAGGAAUGUUCUCAUUUAUUGGGGAUUAAACCAAAUAGUCUAUCUUCGAUAUUUCUGCUAGGUUGUGUCAGGUUGGGCUUUUUAGAAUUUCUUUGACGAAAAGUCAUUCUCUUCAACAGCCAAAUCUUGGGCCAGUGGGCAAUUAUGAAAGUCCAUUGGAUGCAUUGGACCAAACUAAACGUACAAUUUUUUUUUUCUUACAAAAAAAAAAUUAGAGUUGGACUAUUGACACCCCUCUCAUCUCCUCAUAAAACCCCCUUUUUAGUUAUAUUUAUUUUAUUUUAGAAAAUGCCCUUUUUUAGAUACACGUUUCUAAGUUUUUAAUUUUCAUUUGAUUUGUUUUAUUGUUAAAACUCAAAGUAUUAUUGUGUUAUUUUUUAAUUAUUUUCAAUUUUAUUAUUAAUCUACAUACAAAUUAAAAAUUUAUAUGGGUGAUAAGUUUUUUAGUGUUAAUCAUUGGUUGAAAUAACACAUAUUUCAAAUUAUAAUUUCAAAGCAAUUUUAAGUAUAAAAAUAUUUAAUCAAUAAGAAAUCAAAAGAGAAUAAUAGAUUAUUCUAAAUUUGUACAAUUUAUUUUAGUUAAAUAGGAAGUAAAAUAUAAAUUUUUUUAAAAAAUGAUUGAUUAUGAAUUAAGUAAUUUGCUGGGAAAAAAAAUCUAUAUAUGUUUAAUUUUCAAUUGUCUUUAAUUGUAAUUUUAUUUAAAGUGGUGUUUUGUAAGAAUAAUGUAGGGGUGCCAAUAGCUCCACUCAAAAAAUUAUAUCUAUAUAUUCUCUUCAACAACCUAAAACUGGGCCAAUGGGCAAUUAUGAAGUCCAUUGGAUGUAUUGCACCAAACUAAAAGUCCAAUUUUUUUUAUUACUACAAUAUAUAUAUAUAUAUAUAGUAGUUUUCUAAUUAGGGAUUCCUGACUUUAAUAAAGUCAUGGAUCAGCUAAAAGACAAAUAUACAGUGCAUUGGAGUCUGUGUUUAUUUUGUCUUUUAGCUAAUUCCUGAUUUUAUUAAAGUCAGGGAUCCCUGAUUGGAAAACUACUAUAUAUAUAUAUAAACAAAUGUUUUAAUUUAGAAUUUUAAAGUGCGGGAUAGUAUAUAUAUAUAUAUAUAUAAACAAAUGUUUUAAUUUAGAAUUUUAAAGUGCGGGAUAGUCUGGAAUAUGCAGUUUUAAAAACUUAAAACUGUAAGCCUUUAAAACCAUACAAUUUUAAAUUUUUCUCAAAUUUUCUCGUACUUUAAAAUUUCAUACUAAAAAACUACUACAUAUAUCAAUAAAUGAAAUGACACAAUACAGUUGGCUUGCCGUUGCAAAGCCUCUUUGUUUGUUAUUAUUUAUUGGCUUAUUGCAAUAAAGACUAAAGAGAGCUUUGAGCCAUGCAGCAUGGGAAGCUACAUUAAAAAAUAAAAGAAUUUAAAGCUUCAAGGGCAUAAAGCGUGCCCACCCAAUUAAAUUUUUCUUUAAAAAAGAAAAAAAAAGGCUGCAAUUGCAAUGACUUGAAUUUAUCAUCAAUUCUGGCUUAAUUUGCCCCCGUCAUUUUUUCAAGGAGAAUGUCCAACUCAAUUGUGACGGCUACUGCUUCAAUUUUAAUUUUAUUUUUCUCAAGAAUAGUCAUUUUCAUCCACCAUAUUCCUGCAUCCUGAUGCGUCCUUAUUGCUUAUAUUAUUAUAGACCACUUUUGGAAGCAUAACAAAUUUUGCACACAUGGUAUCCAUCUUGCGGACCCAAAUGUUGAUGAUAUACUUGCAUGCUGCAAAAUAAGCCCUUUUAAUAACUUAUCAUCUGGUAAAUGAUAGUUUAUUUAUUUAUUACAUAACAAAUAUGUUAUGCCAUAUGCCACCUAUUAGUGAAAGAUGUUUAAAUAACUACUCUUGUAGUAAACUCCUGAAUGAUGGCAAGUUAGAUUUAUACUUAAUGCACUAACUUCGAUAUUAUUUUUUUUUUACAUGGUAAUUAUUUUCUUCUCGCUAGGAAGUUGCAAUGAUUGAUAAUAAGGGAGCAUUUUGCUUUAUAUACAAUCCUUAAUAGAAGAUUUUCUAGAGAUGUUUAUUAUUAUUAUUAUUAUUAUUAAUCCCGCGUUGGUCAGGAUUUGAUUACUAUAAUAUUGACGAUUCGAUUUCUAACAAUUUUGUUUAUUAUAAAAUUAAAACAAAUGAGUAGUCAUCUAGAAAAUCAUAAUCUCUUUAAAGGCAUCAAAAGGCAAUGGCAAUGUAAAGUGAAUGUGCAUGAAUCUAUUAGUAACAUGUUUGCACGUGUAUUAAUCUUAAAAUAGUCAGUCUUGAAUAUUCCUGGAGGUAUAAAAGCCCUUGAGUUAUCCCUUCAAUGAUAUGAACACGUUUUUUCCAAUCCAAAAUAAGUCUUCUGAUGGGAUCUACAACAAAUAUAUAGUUUUGGACAAUAAGUGAUAUGCAAAUGAAUUUUAUACACAAUUAAUAUUAACUUGAUUUCAGAACAAACCAAAAAGGUAGCAAUCCAAGCUUUUGUUUGGCAUGUAUUCGUAGACCAGCAUCCGUUCCUCACUGUCAAUGCAAAAACCUAAAACUCUAAUAAGAUUUACAUGUUGGAGUUUUGCAGUAAGAAUAACCUCAUUCUUAAACUCCUCAAAUCCCUGUGCGGAUGAUUUCGAAAGUUUCUUCACUGCUAUCACCACUCCACAGGGUAAUACACCCUGCAACCCAAAAAAAAAACCACGUUCAUAUAAAGCUUUCACUAAUUAGAGACGCUGAGAAAUGUUAGCCAAACAAUAUGCUACCCCCCAAAGUUGAGGGCACCAUUUUAAGUCCUUUAAGUCCCCAUGGACGCAAAAUGUAAAUCUCCUCUCACAGAAUAUGGAUAUGGGUAGAGGUAUCUUCCUCAAAUGUUAGUCGAAGUAGUUAUAUCCCUCUAGUGUGAGGUUAGAGGUCUCAUCUCUAAUAGGCAUAGAGUUUUAAAUUAUAUGUUUUGGGCCUCUGAAUUCUACGACGAGUGUACAAAUUCAAACUUCCGAUAGGAUCCAAAUUGCAACAUUGUGGAUUGUAACAAAUUAAAAUAUAGGUACACACACACACACAUGUUACCUUGUAAACAGGACCAUAUCCACCCUCCCCAAGGUUAUUUCUAAUUGAAAAUCCCUCGGUGGCCGCCUCAAUAUCAGCCAAACUAUAUACUCUGAGAUUAGGAACAUUUCUGUUAAAGUCUCCAGCUUCUGUUUCAUUAUUUUCUCUCGUGUUUGAUGCUUUAGCAGAAUCCUCUGUUCCUAACAUCAACCAAGAGUAAAUAUUAGAUAAUUAAUUGUAUGUCAGCCUAAGUUUUAUAUAUAUAUGAAAUGCAUGCUUAAUUAUAAUUGGUAGCUGAAGCUUGUUACCUUCUAUUAACUUGAGCCUUUUCAUCUGGUUGUAUUUAUAUGCACAACAACUUAGAAGGAGAGUCAAAGCUGCCGCUGCAGUCGAAAUGAGUACCAAGGACAGAUGGCGGUUAUUACUAUGUUCAUCUUUGUCAGCUGAAGCAGAAGUAAUGCUGUCUUUUUGUGCAGGAAAUAUGUAUAGUUCACCAAUUAAUAAUAACUAGCUAGAGAUGCCAUAAAAAUCAAUAUUUAUUGGAGAGAACAAUUAUUGCAUAUAUAAAUACCUGCAGCUUGAGAAAGCACCCAAUUAUGAUCAUCACAAUCAACUCGCCACACAUAGUAACCAAGCAAUCUCUUCUCUUUGGCAUAGGCAAUCUUAGUUCUAACAGCCUCCACGUCAUCAAAGCCAAACCAAAUCGUCCGAAUCGAGCAGUAAUUCACCUCAUAAGUUGAAUUGUACAUAACUUGGACAUCAGGACCAUAGUCCUUGAUGUGAUUCUUGAUUUCCUUAUAAGUCGCAAGGCCGCUAUCAUACAAAGCUGGUCCUGUUGCUGCUGCACCAAUACCAUUGUCUUCAGGUUUCACAAGCCUCCAUGCAUAGCCAUAGAAAGGCAAACACAUAACCAACUUAUCUGCCGAUAAUCCUCUCUCAAUCCAUGCCUUUAAAACCUGAUCGGUACAUCUAGCAAAGCCGCCGCUACUUGAGCCAUAGAGAGCCGCAGGUGGCGCCGUGAAGUUUGUUGACAUAGGCUCGCAGUAGCUAGCAGUAACCGCAUGAACCCAAUUCAAGUUUCGUUGUAUCGAAUUCAAAAGAUAUGAAUUCGCUGGUGGUGAAUAACGAAAUCUUGCGGUCAAAAUCAGCGGGGAUUGCUGGCGACUAGAGUUUUUUGCCUCUAAUUUUGUAGCAGCAAUUCGCCACUCGUCAAAAAGUAAACCAAUAUUGAACAUAUCGGUGCUUGUUUUAGGAGCUGUCCAAGAAAAGUCUAGGCCCUGAAAGCCAUAAAGCCUAGCUAUUCUUAUUGAAGAGUCGAUGAAAGAUUUUCUGUGAGAAGGAUUUCUCACCAUUGAAGAAUAAAUAGAAUAGUUUGUAUCCUUUCCUUGUCCAAUGGAGAGAAGUAUAGUGAUUGAUGGGUUCUUUUUUUUCACGGUGUCUGCGAAUUUGGCGAUUUGAUUUUCAUCGGAUGGUAAUGAUAAAGAUAGCUGGUAAGUGGUGGAAUUGAUAUCAGCAGAAGAGCAAAUAAGGUGAGUGAAGAGAUCAUAAUUUAUGCCCGAAAUGGUGGACACGUCGCUUAGAUCCAAGUGACCGACCCUAAUCCACGGUUUUGCUUUCGCGGGAUGAAGUUCUGAAUAGCAACGUGUGGAAGAUGAUGCUGAUAAUUAUGGAUGCCAUUUGAGACUUUGUUAGGAAUGGAAAUGGAUCCGCAGAAGAGAAAUUAGAUAAACACUAGUUUCACAGUUCAUUUAAGUUCUUAUGUAAACUAUUAACGUAGAGGUUCAUUUCGUUCAGAAAAAAAUCUUAUGCGCUCCUGGAUAGGCACAUACAUUGCAUGUUAAGAUGAUGAUAGGCGAUGCGACCAUUGCCUAAGAACUAAGAUUUUCUUCCGUCGCUUGGGUUGGCUGACUUUCCAUGAAGAAAAAUGAUGUUUUGAUUGACAUUUGGUUUAACUGAUGACAAAUUUCAGGCUAUAAAUAUCAGUAUUGUUUUAUUAAAUAAUAAAAUAUAAUAAUUUUACAUGUACGUUGAAAGUUAAUAACUUAAUAUUGCAGUCUUUUGAGACUGUGUUGACGUUUAUUCGGGUGCAUUCGUUUAUUAUAUAUUCCCGUUUUUCUCCCUGUGUGUUUGCUACAGUGCUCUUAAAAGAAUAACAUGUUUUUUUUCGACAAUAAAAGAAUAACAUGUUUAAAGCAUGUAAAUGCACCUCAGAAGUAGUUAAGAAAGACUUGAUAAAAAACCAGACAUUUUCUCUCUACUCAAAAAGUAGUUAAGACUGUAUGAACCAAUUAAAACGUCAGAUUCAUACUAUAACUAUGAUGAUUCAAUAAGACCUUCAAACUAAAUCCACAGAUUCCAUGAGUAAGAAACAAUGGAUCACAUUUUUUUAAGUUUAUGCUUUGAGUAAAAUAAAAGUAGAAACAUGAAUUUGAAAGAAGCAAUUUAGUUAUAAAAAAUUGUCAAGUAAUUAAUUGUUUGGCAUUUAUUUUAUGGGUCCCAACCCAUGUGAUCCGUAAAAUGAGACACCUUAUGUGAUUGGGUGCGCCAUGGUGCGCUAACCUCAUAUAAGCUUCUCUCUUCUUACGGAUAUAACUGUAUAUGGGUGGCAUUAUGUAGUGCCCCACAUGGGCUCUUUAAAAUUAUUUUAUGUGCAUUUUAAACAUUCCCUCGUUAUUGAUUUGAAACACUAAAAAUGCCUCUCUUAAAUUUUAAAAAUAUAUAAAAAAAAUUGCGUGUUUAAAGAAUGCUUGAUGUCUCUAGCCUAACAGUUAGCACACCUAUUGUAUACACUUUUACUUUUUUCUUCUCUAAACUUUCACUCCUCUUUUCUCUGAUUCUUCACACUUCACUGAUCUUUUAUCUCUAAAAAAAUUAAACUGUCUCUAGAAGCUUAUUACUAAUUUUCUGAUCUAAUUAUUUACAUAAGUAUUCUUGAUUGAUUAUCACUUCUUUAAUUUUUUGAGGGGGAUUUCUCUUGGAUGAAAGAAUUAAGGUUAUGUUCUAAGAAAAUUUUAACUCCCAUGUUAUAGUUUUGAUAAUGAGAUUAUCCUUAAAUUUUCAAUAUAUGAAAAUACUUCGAAACAACUAUUAAUUCGUUGAAUGAAACAUCCUAAUGAACUUAGAUUUUGGUACUUAUUAUUUAUUGAACUUUUUCUUUUAAAUUACAUUACUAUUUGAAGUGUGGCGGUAUAUGGUCUCUAGUCCAAAUGACGAAAUCAAAUCACCAUGUGCAUUAGUGUUUUGUUUGUGUGGUUGGAGGGGGGGGGGGGGGGGCGGUGUUUUUUAUUGGUGCAGGAAGAAAGCUCUUCAGGACUACUCGGAAAAAUAUAUAUAUAUAUAUGAGCAACACAUAGUCCAUUUCGCAUUGCAUAGAAGUAAAACCGAAGCAUUACACAAAAAGCACACGUUAUUUAUAUUUUUAGUUAUUGAUAAGAAAAUUUUUUCCCUCUUAUUAUCAUCUUAAUUAAGAAAAAUAGUAAUUCGUUUAACUGUUUGCGAAAAAUGAUGGCAAUAUACAAUAAUAUUGUGUUGAUGACCUUGAAAGCUAAUUCUUUUGAAACAGGAAAACUGGUAUCGUAUUCAAAACACAUAAAAGACGUAUCCAAGCUUUUAAUGUGAUCUAAAGAUCUCAUAGCUACAUUCGAAAUUAAUAAAUGAUCCCUAAGAGUUACGAAACUGAUAUCAAUGAAAUUACAAACUCUUAAGAGUUUAUAGAACAUUAAUUGAUCCAAAUCCAAUACAAACUGCUUACUAGUACAGCCUCAAGAGAGCCAUUUAUUUUUCAGUAGGCAAAUUAAGCAACUGCAGCAGUCACUAGCAGCUUGCCAAGAGCUAGCAUAGAUCAAUUGUUCAUCUUCAUAAGCUUUCUUUGAGAAAGUUUCAAGCUUCUUUGGAGUCAUUAUAUCGGCUGUGUUCUCGUUUUUGAGCAUCGAAUAAACUUCCAGCAUAGAAGGUCUACCGUUUGGGUUCUCCUGAACACAUAACAAAGCUAUUUGCAGACAUGUCAAUAAUUUCCAUGAGGAAUGCGCAUCAUCUAGUGAUGGAUCCAUUAACUUUAUGCCUUUCCCAUCCUUCCACAACUUGUAGGACUGAAAACAUCAAAUAUGUUAUUGAGUUACAUUCAAUUAAAUAGCACUAUAAAGUUUUGACCAAUUGUGCAUUAUAAAGGGGGUUAUACAGAAACUUACAUAGUGUACAAGGCUUAAAUUUUCAUUAUGACCAUAUUAAAUAAAAAAUCUCCUUCCAUUUAUAAUUUGCAAAAGUAAAAUCUCAAAACUGUAGACAUCAUAUUUAGUAGAGUAGAUGCCUCUUCUACAUACCCAGGAGGGAUGUAGCCAUUGUGGUACCGAUUAAUUACAAACGUCAUUGAAAUUGUUUGACCUAAAAGAUUAAGUUGAUUGGUAAAUGUUUAACAAUAGUAUUAAAGAUAAGUCGAAGAAAAUAGACAUAUAUAUACUUACUGUGUUCCAACAAUUCGAUUUGUGUUUGCUUCAAGAUCAUCUUUCACAAAAAUUCUAACGAAGUCAAAAUCUGAUAUUUUUGGUUUCAAAUCUUCAUCCAACAAAAUGUUACUAGCUUUCAAGUCUUAAUGAAUAACUAUUAAUCUAGAAUAUUCUUGAAGAUAGAAAAGCCCUUGAGUAAUUCCUUAAAUGAUAUGAAUGCAUUUUUUCCAAUCCAAAAUAAACCUUCGGAUGGGAUCUACAUCAAAUAUAAGUAUAGUUGGACGGUCUGUAGCAUUAGCAUUUAGAAAUGAGAAAUGCAAAUAAAGGAUUUCGUAAAUGAAGAAUUGCUCGCUGGAAGAAUAAGUUGAAUAAUCUGCAUUUCCUCCUCCGAUGGAAAGAAGGGUAGUGAUUGUUAGGUUCUUUGUUUUCAUAGUGUGUGUGAAGUUGAAGAAUUGUUCCUCAUCAGAAGAUGACAAAGAAAGUUUGUAGGACGUUGGAUCGACAUAAGCGAAACCACAAAUAAGGUGAGUGAAGAGAGCACAUUAUUUAUAUCUAAAAUGGGGAAGCCAGGCCUGGUUCCCAAAUACUAGCUCUGAUUAAAGUUUUUGCUUUUGCAGGAAGCGAUUCUGAAAAUAUAAAAAUCUGGAGGACCUAAGUGACAAAUUUGGAUGCCAUUUUGGAAAGCCAGCUGCCUGAAACAUGCCCAGUCUGUAUGUGUUUUUAUACACACACACAGAAAUUAUCCUAUAUUGACCGAGAUUAGUUAUGGUCCUAAAUAAUAUAUGUUUUAAGCAACCCUUAACCCAUGAGUUAAAGUUUAUAAACAGUAUCAGAGUCAGGUUAUGGACAAAUGCGCUUAUAUUACCAGACUAAAAUAUCAGCGUGCAUUUGAUGGAAUGAUAGGAAAAAUAUCCCACCUUAGUUAAGAUUAGUUACUAAGUUAAUAAUAUAAGAUUAAGGCAAUCUUCCACUCAUAUAACGCAAGAGUAUGAAUCACAAUUUAAUAAAACUAGGUCAAUUCGAUUUUUUAUAAAGAUAUAUGAGCUACAACUUGAGGUCGCUCACGAGUGGGGACGAGUUAGAUUAAGGCAAUCUUCAACUCAUAUAAUGUUGAUCAUGGACCGAAUCAACAUAGGAAACAAAAGUCGAGGAAGUUGAAUCUCCUUGCCUUCAAGUUGCAUGGAUGGGAGUCAUACAACGAAAAGGUUGUCUUCGUUCAAUGACGAUCGGCUUGAAGUUCUUAAAUUAAGCUACGGCGUUUGCCUCCACUUAGCUUGACUUCUGAAGCUGGAGACUCUUCCUUUUGUAUUGGCUUCGUUGGUACUUAAAUUACCUCGGAGUCUCGGAUGUGUUUCUGAAGCCAUGUCAUUGUCUACGAGUAGAAUUUUUUUUUUUUUUUUUUUUUUUGGGGGGAAGAAAGAGGAAGUCUAUCGGAAAAGUAGUAAAAUGAUAUUUUUUGUAAAGAUAUAGUAGGAAAAUGAUAGGGAGCAAUACUUCUUGUAGUCAUUUGAUAUUUGUCAAAUUUUAAAGUAGUGAAAUGAUAAUAACCCAAAAAAAAAAACAAAACGUUUUUCAAUCAAAAACAAAAAUAAAGAAAUAAAUAGACAAUCCCAUGUAUAAAAAGCUAACCGGGAAUGGUGAAGACGACACUGACAUCCUCCGUUUCUCUAUUAAGCUACUUCAAGUGUUUAAGGUUUUUGAUAAUUAUAGAAAUUAAGAAAUAACAUGAAGAAGAAUGAUCAAUUAGGGGAAGUGAUUGAAGUUGAUGUGGGUUUGGACGGUGGAUGAUGAAAGCUGACUUUGUUUUGUUAUGUAAAAUCAACGGUGCCCAAAAGGCUGUUCUGACGCAGAUGCUUCACUUCCUUGCAUACUGCUGUAGAAAAAAAUGGUUUUUUUCUAUCUAAAGGUUAAUAGUUUAGUUUGGUGAAAAAGAAUUUUAAGUACAGUAAAAUUUUUAUAAAUUAAUAAUUUUCUAUCAUAUAAAAUUUAUUAAUUUAAAAGAAGUAUUAAUUAAUCUAUAUUAAUAAUUUAUCAAUUUAUAAAGUGUAUAUACAAUUCGAUAAACAUACAUUUUAAUCAAUUAAAAUUCAUUGUAUUUUACCAAUCUAAUAAAUUAAAAAUGAAUUAAUCUACUAAAUAUAAAUUAAAUUAAUAAAAAAAUUUAUAAUUCUUACAAUUUCAAAAUUCAACCCUUAAACUUCUAGAAGUGAUACGCAUAGCAUUACUCAAUUUAAAUUCAACCCUUAAAAUCAUGGCAAGAGAAUAGUGAAGAAAAAAGAAAAGAAAAGGAAAAAACAAACUCACAAACACUUAGUUAUCGACCUCUAUGGCCUAUGCCACUGGCCUGUAGAACUAACUCCCUCAGAAAUGAUUUCAAGUUCCUGUAAUUUUCUGUAUAAAAUGAGAGCAUUUUCCUCUUUAAAGCAGGGGCAGUAACAGUGUCACAAUAGAAAGCAUUCUGAUGGUAAGAUUAAGUAGUAUUGUGAUUUUAAUUGGGGGGAAAAUGUCCCAUACGCUUAUUUCCUUAUGUGAUUUAGAUUCAAGUCAAGACGACCCUCCAUUUUAGUAUAAAAGUCUAUACAAAUGUACGUUUUACUCAAUGUUUACGUAGAAACAAAUGAUUUGCUGAUUUAGUACCACUCUUGUUUACUGGGUGGGAUUUGGCUCCUCCAAAUUUGUAGCCAAUAUUUUACUUUGAUGAGAAAAUCAAAUAACGUUUCAACAAAUAAUUUUUCUUUUCUACGUACUUUCUUAAAACGUAUGGAGUGAGUAAAGUACAAAUUGAUUUUUUAGCCCUUUGACUCUUCCAUAUUCAAACUCAAAUUAGUGGUCUGUUAAAUAUUGCUACUUAAAAUCAUUCAGCCAAAUAUUGUAAAAACUAUAAUUUCACAAAGUCAAAGUUUCAUUGAUUAUUGAAUUGUAGAGUGUGCUAUCAUUUCCUAGCUAAAAAUUUGUUUAGUUCUAUUAAGUUUCAAUCAUUUUUUAUUUUAUUUAAUUAAUUAAAGUGAAUUUAUUAUGUAUAAAUGCUAUUUAUGUGAAAUUUUAAAAUCCAGUGCUAAAUUGAAUUGUACUAAAUUUUUAUAAUUUUUUGUCACACCUGCAUUUCUAACAGUUUAGUAUAAAUAUUGAGAGCAAAUAGUAUAUAGGAUUAAAAGAGAUUGAUUUCGAGUGCUACAAGAUUUUUAGGAUUGCAUGCGCAAGGGUUUAAAAACAAAGUGUGCAUUUAAUUACACUAAACGUAGGUGCAUUUUUAUGAUGAAAUAAAAACUGGUUGUAUAAAUGGCUCCAUAAUUAGUGUACUUAAUAUCCAUCUAGCUAUCACUUCCGAAAAUGAUAUCAGAAGCCGAACACAUUUCCAACUGUAUUUUAGAUAAUAGUUCAAUCCCAAUUUCGUCAACUUGUUUUGAGAAAGCAGGCUUCUUGGGAGAAUUUAUAUUUCGUCAACUUGUUUCGUCAAUUUGUGCAUAUAAAUGUCUAUCAUUUGGAUUCUCCUGGACACACAACAAAGCUAUAUCCAGACGUCUCAUUAAUUUACAAGUGAAAUUUGUAUAAUCUCGUGAUGAAUCCACAAACUCCAUAUAUAUUUUUUUUUUUACCACGAGGUAUCAUGGGGAGGGCCCCAACUGUGGGAGGCACCUUUAAGUCCGUACCACAACUCAGACUAGAAGUCCCCGCUCGAACCGAGAGGCACAGGUUCUCCCAACAAAGGCGACUUCCCUACGACUUGAACUGGGGAGCAAACCCAGUCAAGCCAUUUAAGGGGACUCCAUUGCCAGUGGAGCCAACACUUUGUUGGUUAAACUGGAUAUUUUAUCUUGCUACAAACUCCAUAUUUUCACAACUCAUAUGCCUGAAAUUAUCAAGUAUUAUCUUGCUACAUAUUUUAUACUACUUAGUUAAGUGCAUAUAUAUAUAUAUAUAGACACAUACACACACACACACUAAAGGUUACUAUAGCCAAAGAAAUUUACAUGCUCUAGAAGACUUAAAUUUCCAUCGAUGCCACAUAGGCACAUAACAUAAAAAGACUUUUCCCAGUUAUCAUUCGUAAAAGUAAGACUUCAAAACUAAAAAUGUUUGAUUCGGUAGAGUAAACAUCUCUAUGAGUGUAUUUAGGAGGAAUAUAACCUCUACAUUUGAAAAUAACCAACACUCACUACUACAAAAAUGACUUUUACUGACACUUUGUUUCUGACACUUUGAAAAAAGUGUCAGUAAUUACCUAACUAUGCACAAUUUUCCGCUUUUAACAAAUAAAUGUCACAAAUUAUUAAUACUAAUGUAUCAGUAAAUUAAAUAUUAGAGAUCACUGAUACUUCAGCAUCAGAGAUCUAAAAAGAAUCAUUAAAAUUUGUUUUGAUUUUAACUCGAACCUGGGAUUUCUAAAACUCAAAACUUUUACGUUUAGAUUGCAAACCACUGGACCCCAUAAAAUUGAGUUGGAAUUACAAUGUUAUAUAAAAUAUUAACAUAUAAAAAACCAAACCCUAAUUCCCCUUUUCCAUUGUGCAAUAGAGCCCAUGCCGCAGCUGCUGCGUAAUUUCCUUGCCUUUCUUGACUUCUUCUUCUCUAUCGUGAAAGAUGGAGAAUGACCAGGCCCAAACGCCCACGCCCACAGCCGCGCCCAACCCCCACGGCUGCGCCCACCCCCACGCCGUUGCCACUAUCACUUCCGUUCAAGUGGUUCGACACUGCAGGUACUAAAUUAAGAAUUUAAAACAUGUAAAACGAAAGUAAAACAUAUCCCAAACUUAGCAAUUGUCCCCAUCUCCCUGUCUUUUAUACACACAAAUCUCUAACCCAAACUCAAACCCAAAACUGUCUCUUGCCUUUCUCUUUCUCUUUCCUUUUUCUCUUCUCGAUCUCUUCCUUUUUUUUCUGUCCAUUCACAAACUCGUUCAUUUAACUUAAAUAGAUAAUAUAAAGCUAAAACCCUAAGUGAGGCUUUUAUUCCCUUUUUCCUUUUUUUUCCCAAAUUGAAAAACGGACCAAAACCGUAAUCGAGGCUUCUUUUAUCAAUUUUUUUUCUUUUUAUGGUCAAAUUUCACUUUUUUUUUGUUCAAUAUUCAAAACCCAUUUGCUUGAAUUUGAAUAAAAUUAUUGAGAAAUUAGUUAAUUUUCUUGCUAUGGAAGGGAUACCACACCUUAUACGUAGACCUGUGAAGGAGAUUUUCAAUGACUUUAAGGGCAAACAGGUUGCCUUGAUUAAGGCUUUAACUGCUGGUAAUGGCUUAAUAUUUUAUUUUCUUUGUCAAAUUAAUUAAUAAUUUUUUUUUAUUUUAGCUUAUCAUUAUUAGGGUUUUUUGUUAAUUUUAAUUUUCUGGGUUGUUGCAGAUGUUGAGAAAUUCUGCCAGUGGUGCAGUCUUGGUGGGAUUUCUUUUCCAUAUCUAUUUUUUGUUUAUUUAAUUGUAAUUUGAAUUUUUUUCUUUUUUUUCCUAUAUUUCUAUAUUAUAUAGAUUGAAUGGCUGUGUAUUUCAUAAUUAUUAAGUGUUAUUUAUUGCUCUGUUUCAUGUAAAGAUAGGCAAAUUAUGUUAUAGAAACCAACAUGUUUAUUUUUUUAUUUUUUUUAGUUGGAAGAUUUUUAAUAGAGACAAUGACUAUGAUAUGAAUUAACUAAGUUCAUGAUUUGUCUUUAAUUCAAGAAGAAAAUGCUUGUUUUUAGGUAGUUUUGCUUGUUGUAGCACUUGAAGACUUACAUUUUCUUUGUUCAUUUGCACGGUUAGUUUCGCUCUUAUUCAGAAAUUUCUGUGUUUCCUCACUUGCAUGGUCAUUAAUUCAUUCCAUGAUUUUUCUUCUGUAAACACACUUUUAUUUUCCUUUCACUAGUUUGAAGGAAUUUAUUUUUUUAAAAUAAAAAAUUCUAAAGAUUGAAAUGAAUUGAAAUUGUUGCUAUAAUGUACUUUCUUUGCUGCUGAAGUUCAAGGAAUGUCUAUUUAAAUGAACUAGAACUUGAAAAAUCUUGAAGUGUUGUUGUACCCAUAGACUUCAUUUUUUUUCCUGCACAUUACACUUAUUUUGUUCAUCUUCUUACCUUCAAUUUGUCGUAGAGGUUAACAAUGAUUGACGAGAAAUGGAGGUUUGCAUUUACUGCGGCUGAAUCUCAUGAACAAGAAGUUGGCAAACUGAGGUCUGUAUUUUUUCCUCAAAUUCAUAGUUGAAUUCAUAGUAAGCUCAAAGCAAUUGAUUGAGGGAGAAAAUAAAUUGAGUUUUAUUUAUUAGUAUAAUUUUUGUUAUUUAGUGCUUUACACUCUUCAUGACAACUUCUGCGAUCUUGUCCUAUUACCUUAAGGUACUACUGGAUAUUUGAGAAAAAAUUAAAAAUUAUUAAGAUUAUCUUUCUUUGAUGAUAGAAUUACAAUAUGUCUUCUCACUUAUUAUAGUUCAUCCAAUUUUAUUUUUGUUGCACAGUCUGUGGAAAUCAGAGUACCACAUUUAAGAGUUUUUAUAAAAUGUCUCCUUUACCUUUCCUAUUAUUUAAACUAAUUUCAUGUGUAUUUCUUUAGUUAAUGAUUGAUUUUCAAGUAGUUGAAGGAAAGUAACUUGUAGAACCUCCUUCUAAAAUUGGUCUGGAACCUUUGUGUGCAAUGGUUAGUGAAAUCAUAAUCCGUGGCUUGUGUUAAUAUGCAUCGAUUGUGUGAAAACUAUUGUUUACUAUUUUCUGUGGCUGGUUAUUAACAUGAUUCACAGAUAAACAACAAUAGACUCAUACCCAUAUGCUUGCUUGUUUUCAACAAGCAUUUUUUUUUUGUAGGUUUUUUUUUUGUGCGUCUCUCUUUGAAGAAUAAUAUGAUUAUCUUACACGAAAUGGGGAAAUUCCAUUAUCUUGCUGCAAGUUUUUUCCUAGUUCUAUAGUUCUACCGUUUUGUAUCACCUUGGAUGACAUGUCGAGUGAAUCCUGGAACAUCAUUUUAUCUUGUUUGUACCUAUAAUACGUUGUGUUCAAUGUUCUUGAAAUUUUUGGGCAUGGCUGCAAACAAAUUUAGCAGUUUUUAAUAGCCAACUAUAGAGUCAAUUUAAAAUUUGUCUAGGUGGUGAGUUUCUAUGGUUUUGUAAUUGGGGUGAAAGGUAGCAAAUACUAAUCUUGUCUAAAGAGCAUUUGUGUAAGAUUACUUGUGAGUAUAGUGGGGCAGCAUAUAUUAGUAUUUUUAUGAAAUAAGCAGAAAAAGGGAUCCCUUUCUAUUGUCAGCAAUAAAAAGAAUUUUCAAAAAUGUAAACACCAAGCGUUCUAGUUGUAUUGUUAUUUGCAAAGAUCUUUUCAAUGUAUUUGUAGAUCCCAACAUACCUUGAUGCAUGAUCAAUUAGUCUGAAGAAUGUUGAGGAUUAUGUCAUUUUGAGCUGUUUAUCAGGUAGUUUGAGGUUAGAUUUGUUUUUUGGAGUAUUAGCUUGGAAUCUGAGUGCUUGCCUAAUUUGGAGAUUGGUGUGUGAUACUUCAAUAGCCUUUUUUUGUGGACUCCCUUUUGACAUUUUGUAAUUAUUGUUCUUAUUAAUACUAAUUUCUCUGUUUCCUAUAAAAAAUAAAUAAAUAAUGAAGGAUAGGUUUUUAUAUGGUAAGGAAUGAAUAAAUAUUAUAAGCAUUUAUUGGAAAAUAAAACUAUGCAGCUUAUUUAGUUGUUUUCCUAUUUAGUGAUAAAUUAAAAUUUUUGGCUUAAUUAUAUUCGGAUAUAUAAACACCAAGUUUUCAGUGUUAAGAUGGAAAACCAACGUCUUUAAAAUUUAUGAAUUGUUAAUACUGAAUCUUUUUUCAGUUUCAGUUAAAAAACAAAAAGGCCCUUCUUUUUUCUAUCUUCAAAUUUUGUGUGAUAGAAGUAUACUGUUGGGCCUUUCUUAUCAACUUUAGCUUUUGGGAUUAUUGUUGGUUUAACUUUAGAAUUAUUUGACCCAGAGAUUUUAUGUUCCAUUAAAUAAUAACACUCAAUACACUGGAUUUAGUUCAUGUUUAUUAAAUUUGGAUUUUUAUGUGAGACGGUACAAGUAUUGGGGAUUAGUGGUCUCUCAACAUUAUGAUCGAAAACCAGCCCUCACUGCCAAUUUGUAUUUUAAGCCCAAUAUUCAGUCCUUGAUCACUAUCAAACUUCCAUAAUCAUUUCUUCUUCAUAUUCUUAUAAAUCAGCCUCAAACUCUAAAGAAAAACCUAAGCCAUUCUCUGUAAGGGGUAAGCGUCUGUUCUUGUUCGGAUGAAGGUGCCAAGUUUUAUUUUGCUCUUUAACGUUAACAAGUCAAUUCCCCAUGAUGUGUUAGGUGAUUUGUUUGUUUCAUGCUGUUUAUUUCCUCGUCUUUUUUUUCUUCUAUCUACUGUUCCUUUAUGAAUUUGCCUCUAGGCAUUUUUGCAGUUGCUUACUAUGAAAUACAAUGGGCUUAUGCUAUAUUUUGUAAAAAUAACUAUGUAAUUCAAUCUCCAAAUUAGUUAAUCUUCUUAGUUGGCUUUGUCUUUGACUGUUUUUUAUAUCAAUUAAUUUGUUUCGUUGUGUACAGGUUAAUUUCUAUUGUUGGAGCCAUGAGUCUGCUGAACACAUUUUUCCUAACAGAGGUUUGGGAUAUGGACUUGCCCAAUUUUUGUCUGUUUUGUUUCUAGGUUAUUAUGUAAAAAUUUUAUAAUGGUUUGCUUUGCUUUGGGUUAUGAUGUAAAAACUUUGUAGUGGUUUGCCUCAAAUGUUUCUGUUAUUAUGUCUUUGGUCUUAUCCUAAGAUACGCUAUAUUCUUAUUCCUCAAUUUUUACCCCUGGAUUGUUUAAUGAGUUUCUAAUUUUGGAUGUAUACUAAUAAAUCUCCAUUUAUCUUUCUUAAUCCUUAGGAUUUUUUUUUUAUUUUUUUUAUUCUUCUUAAGUUGAGUUGUGUAUAGAUCUGUAGGAAAAUCCACUCAAAUUCAAUUCUUAGCAGAUAAAUAUUCCUACCUAUUACAAUUAGCUUGCACUAAGAGAGCUAUGUAUUGUUUUUGCCCCAUUCUUUGUUAGUCUCUUUGAACACUGAAAUUGGCCUGAUUGUUUUUUCUCCCAAAAAUUCAAGAAUUAUUUUUUGUGGUAUACUAAUUGAUUUUAUGUACUUGUAGGUGGGAAAAGAAAAAUGAAGCCGCUUGUGGAUGUUCAAUGACAUUAUGUGCUUCUUUUUGUUGGUUAAUAUUUGUUGAAUCUUAACAUAGUACUUGGUUGUUAAGAGCUUGUCCAAGACUUAAUUUAGUAUUUAUAUUUUUCUUUUCCAAACAAUGAUGUAGUUGAAUGAUAUGAAUUUGAGUGAUGUAUUUGAGAUGUCUCUUAUGCAAUUGUGUUGCGAGAUUUUGUAUAUUUAAUAUAUUUUGAGUUUUCUUUCAGUUGUAAAACAAAUAGGAAAAUAUAAUUAAAAUCAAAGUAUACUAUUAACCAAAAGAAUCAUAACAUCACUAAAUACUGACACUAAAUGUUUAAAAUAACAGUAAUAAUUUUUUAUGUUAUUGAGUCAGUGUGCUCUUGAUACUGUAGUCUCAUAAAUUACUGACAUAUAAAUAGUAUCAUUAAAUACUAACGCUAUCGUGUCAUUAUUUUAGUGAUACCAUAAUGACAUGAAUUACUGACACAAAAAUCGCUGACACUAAAAAUUAGUGUCAGUGUGUUCUGUCUGGAGAAUUAUUGACACAAUUAAUAAGUGUCAGGAAAAGUAAUUACUGACACUAAUUUAGCGUCAGUAAAGCCCAUUUUUCUAGUAGUGACUAUUUCAGUAUGUCUCUCUCUCUCUCUCUCUCUCUCUCUCUCUCUCUCUCUCUCUCUCUCUCUCUCUCUCUCUCUCUAUAUAUAUAUAUAUAUAUAUAUAUAUAUAUAUAUAUAUAUAUAUAUAUAUAUAUAUAUAUAUAAUCAGCUUCAGGUCUGGAAUUUAAAUUUGUAAAGAGUCUACAAUAUCGUAAAUUGCAUUCAUCACUGUUUUACAAUGGUCUAAAUUUUAUUAUAAAUGACUGUCAAAAAAUUAAUACAUGGUUAUCAUUUAUGAUUAUAAUUAGAACAUUAAAAUUCAAGUCGACUCAUUUGUCUUUACAUUGAUGUAUUCUUUGCGAUUAUACUUAGAAUGUUAAACAAUUAAGUUGAAACGACCCGCCCCAAAUCUCCAGGACAAGUCUAUCUAAUCUCGCCUAACCGAAUUAAUAAUAGUUCUAAUAUCUAAGAAUUCUACCAAAACUUCGGCAGAGUCUCUUAUAUAAUUAUUACAUCCCCAAACUUGUAAUUUAUAAAAUUAACACUCCAAAAAAUAAUACAAUAUUUAAUCAACCUCUACAACCAACUUCCUCAAUUUAAACACCAGUAUCCUUCAAACAUAUAAUGUCAAGAAUACAAUAAUUUAUCCUUAAUCGCAAAUAAGUAAUAAAUUAUACAAUUCAAAAUAUCCCAACAAAGCAUCUAUGAUUUUUAACACCAUCAUGUGGCUAUAGUUUCAAAUCUAACUAUCGUUGUUGGAUCGACUGAUGUACCUGCAAAUCUCCUAGGGAGGGGGGGAAAUAUAAUAAAAAUAUGGUGAGUAUAAAACUCAGUGAGCUCAGUGAGUGGUGGGGGUGGGCAAAAUCGGGUUCGGGUCAACGCGAUCGGGUUUCGGGUUGUUCGGGUUAGACAAGAACCAAUUCGAACAUAACCCGAAUUAUUGACCCAACCCGAACCGACCCGAACUGGAUCGGGUUGGAUUUAAAACGGGUUGGAUUGAGUUCGGGUCAAUUCGGGUUAGUUCGGGUCAGCGUGUGUGUGUGCUGUGCAGCUCGUGUGUGUUCUGUUCUGUUCUGUCAUUCUGCAUUUCUGUGUGCGUGCUGUGCAAGUGUGCAGCUUGUGACUUGUGUUGUGUGUGUGCAACAGCGUAUGUGUGUGUGGGUGCGGCUGUGUGCUUUGCAGCUUCUAACAAGUUGUGUGUGUGUGUUGUGCAGCAGCCAAGCAGCGUGUGUGUGUGUGUGUGUACAGUGUUAGCUUAGCUUAGGUUUUUUUUUUUUUUUUGAGAACCCGAUCGGGUAUUCGGAUCGGGUCGGGUUUGACCCAAACCGAUCACAACCCGAUCGGGUUUGUAAAUUUCAAACCGCUCGGGUUUCGAUCCCGACCCGAUCCGACCCGAACCCGAAAUUUAUCGGGUCGGGUCGGGUCGGAUCGGGUAAAAUGCCCACCCCUAGUGAGUGGAUAGUAGUUUAGGAAAAAUAAUUUAUUUAAAAUGAUUUAAUCUUUUCUAAAUCAAUUUCAUCAAAAUAUCAUAAGAACUUACAUAAACUUAUUUAAUUCAAAUCAUGCACUGAAAUAACAAUAUUACAUAAAUCUGCAUAAAAUCAAUGAAAUCAUAAUACUUAUUGUUAGCCUAUAUGGCUAUAAAUAUUGAUUUUGAUGAUAACAAACCACAUGUGUUAGUUAAACAAAGAUUUAUAAAUUGUGCUUUUAUAAUAAGAAAAUGAUUUUAUGGAAUUAAAGUGUUUUGGACCAAAAUAAAAGUAUUUUAUAAUCUUUGAUAUUGUUUUGAAUUUCGGAUUUGGACCUAUUUAAAUAUUUUUGGGCCAUUCUAUAAUUUCACAUAGUUUGGGCGAUAUUCUAAUUUCAAAAAUUUUUGGGAUUGACAAAGUAUUAUUUAGAAAUUCUAAAAUUGGACCUAUUUGAACACUUUCAUAACAUUUUAGGCCAUAAUAUAAUUUUAUAAAGUUUUGGGGUCGAAUUAUAAUUUUGGAAAACAUUUCACUGUAGCAAGCAGAUAUCUGGAUCCUAACAAAUGGUAGACCGGAUUUGGGCAGAAAGCUUCUGGAACUUAAACGGCUAUCCGGAUUUCACAAGCGGUAUACCAGAUGUUCAAAAAUUUAAAUUUUGGCUAUAACGGUAACAUUACGCGGCUAACCGGAUGUCCAUAAAUGGUAAGUUAGUUAUCACCUAAAUGUGCAUAACGGCUAGUUUUUGAGUUCAAACUAUAUAAACCCAAAUCCAAUUCAUUUUCAAGCUCUUUUGCAAACAAAAUCAAAAAGCACACAACAUUCAUUGAGCUCUCAUUUCGCAAAUCAUAAAACCUUGAAUCAUAUUUUGUUCUUCAAUUUGUAUAUCUACUCUUUAAGAGAGUUUUUAUUGUAAUCUUCAAUUCCUCAUCUUAAUUGUGAGUGUUUAAGUGUGUGAGACACUUGAGUGAAGAGAUUGAGAGAUAAUCUCUUUGUUGUAAAGGUUCAUUGACACCUUAAAGUCAAUUGUAACCAUUUGAAGCCUUAGAAGGCUUGCAUAGUGAAAUCAUCAAGCUUGGAUUGCUUGGAGGCGUGGACGUAGCCGGGGAUUGUCGAACCACGUAAAAAUUCGUGUGUUUGUUUCUUUUCUCCCUUACUCAUUUGUUAUUGUACUUUUAUUGAACUUAUUGCUUUCGAAUUUAUUAAGGCGUUAGAUUGGAUUGUUGUGUGGUUUUGUUAGGAUAAUUUUUAAAAAUACCAAUUCACCCCCCUCUUGGGUUGCACACUUGUAUUUCACCUAUAAUAUCAAAUACUGAAUACCAAAAACUAUCACCAAACAAGUACCCGGGGGAAUAAUCUCAUCAUAUUCGGACCUCGACGGACGGGCAAUCAGGGAACCAUCAUACCCCGGAGCUACAACGGAUAGACGGGGAAAUGUCAUCUCAUAUCUCAUGUAUCUCAACAUCUGUAUCUUUGUAAUCAUCAUACUGCAUGCAUAAGCCUCCAAAAGGAAAAAGCGCCCAAACACACAGCCAAAAGCCUCUAUGUGUGUUCAGACGGGCCUCAAAGACCUCUCAUCUCAUAUCAUCUGUAUCAUUGUGUUCAUCUUAUAUUAUCUGUAUCUCUGUGUCUUAAGGGGAAUGAUAUUGUCCAAUGAUUUUCCAAACAACCUUUUAUAAACAUGUACAUAAACAUAUAAUCACAUCUGAAAUCUCAUUUCCUUUUAUUCAACAUAUCUCAAAUCCACUCAAUUCUAAUAUCAUGCAUUUACUCAAAAAAAAAAUGAUAAUAGAAUCAUUAAUCAAACUCAUUUUCAAUACUAAUAAAUAUCAGCACGUAAAAUAAAAAUCAAUUUUCUAGAAAAUCAUUAAAUCGAAGCAUCAAAUACUUAUCAUCAAAACAUGUUGUACUGUAUAGUAAAAUCAUAGUAUACUAUGAAAAUAGGUUUUGUAUAUUCCACUCACAGUGACAAUGUCCAGACUCGGGAUCACCAACGUCCGCAGGUUAAUUCUCGCUCGCGGGUCCUCCUAAUUACAUAAACGACAUAAUUAUUAUCCAUAUCAUGAAAUACGACUAACAGUACGAAAUAAAGCUCAAAACCAAACUCCCGGAUACAUAAAAUUUCAAAAUUACCCUUAUGUCCAAAAAUUACCCAAAUGCCCCUGACACCGAAAUUUACCAAAUUACCAUCAGAAUCAUAAUUUAUCGAAUCAUCCUCAAUAUCUUAAAUUACCAAAUUGUCCUUAAUUCGGAUAACAAAAUUAAUCACAAGUUUUGAAUUUACAAAAUUACCUUCGAAGUACAAAAUUACCAAAAUGUCCUUAAUAACUUAAAUUACCGAAUUACCCUCGAAAUCUCAAAUUACUUCUCUGUCCUAAUCACAAAUUACCAAAUUAUCCACCAUUUUCAUAAAUUACAAAUUUACCCCAAAGUUUUAUGAAAUUACCGAAUUACCCUUGCCGGUCAACGGUGACCUGACUUCAGUCAAUGAUGACGGGAAGCUCAGGUCUAAUAGUUCAGACCUCGGUGAAUCCAACGAUGCUGGCGGUGACCUCCCACGCGCGGCGAUGGUGGCAGAUCGAAGCUCCAAAAUUCGUGAGUUUCCCGGUGUUCGUUCGCGGCCAAGACAGCAUCCCCGGUGAUCGUGGUCAGUUGGAAAGUGAUAAGUGUGAGUUGAGAAACAAGAUCCAGGCAGUGGCGUGGCUAAAAAUCCGACGGGAUCGACGGCGACAGAAACGGGUUGAGUCGCGGCUUUUCGAGCUUCAAACGGCGGCGUUUCGGUCGGCUUUUCUUUGAUUUGUUAUUUUGAGUUGUAUGAAAUAUAGCUUUACUUAUGUUUUUUUUUAUCAUUAAUAGGAAUUUUCUUGUUAAAACUAUAUGAAUUGAUUGAAACUUCAAAUUCAUACUACAACCAUGAUGAUUUAAUAAAACAUUCAAACUAAAUCCACAUAUUCCAUGAGUAAGAACCCUGAGAGCACAUUUAUUCAAGUUUAUGCUUUAAGUAAAAUAAAAGUAGAAAUGAGAAUUUUAAAGAAGAAAUUUAGUUAUAAAUAAUUGUCAAAUAAUUAAUUGUUCAGCAUUUAUUUUAUAGGUCCCACUGUUGGGACUCCAUGUGAUCUGCUAACUGGCAGGCCUUUUGUGGUUAGGCGAACCACAGUAUGCCUGCCCCAUAUAAGUUCCUCUCUUCUCAUAGAUAUAACUAGUGCUAUGUCAUGUCCAACAAGGGCUCUUCGAAACUUUUUAUGUGAAUUUUAAACAUUACCCCAUUACGCUUUUGAAACACCAAAACUACCUCAAAUUUUAAAAAUAUAAAAAAAAAUACAUAUUAAAAGAAUGUUUUAUGUCUUUAGCUUAACAGUUAGCACACGUAUUGUACUCUUGACAUUUUUCUUCUGUAAAUCUUCACUUCUUUUUUCUUUGAUUCUUCACACUCCACUGCUCUUUUAUCUCUAAAAAAUUAAAUUGUCCGUAGAAGCUUACUAUUUAAUUUACUGAUCUAAUUAUUUAGCUCUAAAUAUUUAGAUACGUUUUCUUAAUUAAUUAUCUCUUCUUUAAUUUUUUUGGUAAUUUCUCUUAGAUGAAAGAAUUAAGGUUAUGUCCUAGGAAAAUAUUAACUCUCAUAUUAUAGUGUUGAUAAUGAGGUUAUCCUUGAAUUUUUAACACAUGAAAACACAUCGAGGUAACUAUAAAUUCAUUGAAGGAAAUAUUUUAAUAAAUUUAGAUUUUGGUACAUAUUAUUUGUUGAAUUUUUUUUCUUUCCAAAUUGAACGUAGCCCUUAUGAUAUUCAGUUCGUGAUGGUGCCACUAAAUGUAAAGUGUCGAACUAGAUCAUAUUUCUCCCUUAUGCAAACUCCAUCGUUUAUUUAUAUUUCAAUUUUGUGGCCUAUUGUCGAGUUUUCUAGUUUCACAGAGGGCAUCUUGGAUUUCUCUACGUGGUCCAUAGUCUCUAGUCCAAAUGAAGAAAUCGAAUUCACCAUGUACAUUAGUGUUUUUUUUCUUUUUUCUUUUUGGGCGGGGGGGGAAUUUUUUUAUUGGCACAGGAAGAAAGCUCUUCGGCACUACUCGGAAGAAGAAUAUGAGCAACACAUGGUCCAAUUCGCAUUGUAUGGAAGUAAAACCGAAGCAUUAGACCAAAAGCAAACCUUAUUCAUAUUUUUAGUUACUGAUAACAAUUUCUUUCCCCUCUUAUUAUCAUCUUAAUUAAGAAAUAUAGUAAUUCGUUAACUUUUUGGGAAAUUAAAAAGGAUGGCAAUAUACAAUAUUCUUGUGUUGAUGACCUUAAAAGCUAAUUCCCUUGAAACAGGAAAACUGGUAUCGUUUUUCAAAGCACAUAAAUGAUAUAUCCCAGCUUUCAAUGUGAUCGAAAGAUUUCAUAGCCACACUCGAAAUUAAUAAAUGAUCCCUAAGAAUUCGUUAACUUCAAGAGUUUAUAGAACAUUAAUUGAUCCAAAUCCAAUACAAACUGCUUACUAGUACAGCUGCAAGAGAGCCAUUUUUUUUCAGUAGGCAUAUUAAACAACUGCAGCAGUCACUAGAAAGCUAGUAUAGACCAAUUGUUCAUCUACCAACCAAUUGUGAAAUUGUUACAUCAUUACUUGAACAUAUUUCCCAUCCAAUCGUGGCUUUAUUUUGUUCGUCUUCAUAAGCUUUGUUUAAGAAAUCGGAGUCCAUUCGAUGAGUCUAUCAGCAUUCUUUAACUAAUUAUUAGAUUAAAUGUAUAAAUUUAAAACUAGUAAAAGUUUAGACUAUGAAAGAACCUUGAUUCAUUCAAGAAAUAAUUAAAAUUUUAAUCCUUUUCAAACUGGUUAAUAUUAACCUUAUCAUUAUGCGAAAACACAAUUUAAAAGAAAAAUAAAAUAAAAUAAAAAUCUCACAAAGUUGGUGUGUGGAAUAGUCAAUACGUUGUCCUUGAUUUUUUAUUUUUUAUUUUUUACAAACCCUUAAAGAGUCUAUAGAUGUAGUUAGUGAUAUUACAUUACAUUAAUUGAUCCAAAUCCAAUACAAACUGCUUACCAGUACAGCCUCAAGAGAGUCAUUUAUUAUUCAAUUGGCAAAUUAAACAACUGCAGUAGUCACUAGCAGCUUGCCAAGAGCUAUAGCGUAGAUCAAUUGUUCAUCUACCAACCAAUUGUGAAAUUGUUACAUCAUUACUUGAACAAAUUUCCAAUCCAAUCGUGGCUUUCCUUUGUUCAUCUUCGUAAGCUUGCUUUGAGAAAGUUGCAGGCUUCUUUGGAGUCAUUAUAUCAGCCGUGCUCUCAUUUUCGAGCAUCGAAGAAACUUCCAGCAUAGAAGGUCUAUCGUCUGGGUUCUCCUGAACACACAACAGAGCUAUUUGCAGACAUGUUAGCAAUUUCCACGAGGAAUGCGUAUCAUCUAGUGAUGUAUCCAUUAACCCCAUGCCUUUCCCAUCUUUCCACAGCUCAUAAGCCUGUAAAUAUCGAAUAUGUUAUUGAGUUACAUUCAAUUAAUUAGCACUAUAAAGUUUUGAUCCAGUGUGCAUUAUAAAGGGGGUUAUGAAGAAACUUACAUACUGUACAAGGCUUAAAUUUUCAUUCUGGCCAGAUUGAACGAACAAUCUUCUUCCACUUAUAAUUUGCAAAAGUAAAACCCCAAAACUGUAGACAUCAGAUUUGGUGGAGUAGAUGCCUCUCGUCACAUACUCAGGAGGGAUAUAGCCACUGUUGUACCAAGUACUUACAAAUAUCAGUUAAAUUGUUUGACCUAAAAGGUUAAGCUGAUUGGUAAAGGCUCAACAAUAGUAUUAAAGACAAGUCGAAAAAUAGACGUAUAUACACUUACUGUGUUCCAACAAUUCGACUGGUGUUUGCUUCAAGGUCGUCUUUCACAAAAAUUCUAGCUAAGCCAAAAUCUGAUAUUUUAGGCUUCAUAUUUUCAUCCAAUAAAACAUUACUAGCUUUCAAGUCUCGAUGAAUAAUUGUUAAUCUAGAAUAUUCUUGAAGAUAAAGAAGCCCUUGAGUUAUUCCUUGAAUGAUAUGAAUGCGUUUUUUCCAAUCCAAAAUAAACCUUCGGAUGGGAUCUACAUCAAAUAUAAGUAUAGUUGGACGGUCAGUAGCACUAGCAUUUGGAGAUGAGAAAGCAAAUGGAGGCACAUAAAUUAAGAAUUAAGCAGAAGCACAUACCAAAAAGGAAAUAGUCUAAGCUUUGUUUUGGCAUGUACUCGUAGAUCAGCAUUUGUUCUUCUCUGUCAAUGCAAAAACCUAAAACCUUAAUAAGAUUUACAUGUUGGAGUUUUGCAGUAAGCAUAACCUCAUUCUUGAACUCCUCAAAUCCUUGUUUGGAUGUCUUUGAGAGUUUCUUCACUGCUAUUACCUGUCCAUCAGGUAAUACACCCUGCAAACACCCCCAAAACAUUAAAAAGGAAAAAAAAAUGCAAUGUUCAUAUACAUAUGUGUGUGUGUGUAUUUCGCUAAUUAAUUAAUAAGAUGAGAGAUAGCCAAGCUAUCGAUAUAUAACCUUGUAAACAGGGCCAUAUCCACCCUCCCCGAGCUUAUUUUCAAUUGAAAAUCUAUCCGUGGCCACCUCAAUAUCAGCCAAGCUAUAUUCUCUAAGAUCAGGAUCAUUGCUGUUAAAAUCUCCAGCAUGUGCUUGACUGUUUGCUCCGUCCUUUGAUGACUUGGCUGAGUCAAUUACUAUUCCAAUUAAUAUCAACCAAGGAAAAAAAAGAAAAAGAAAAAGAAAAAAGCUAAUUUAAGUAAAUUGCCCACUUCUUCAGCUGUGCUAAAUAGAAUAGAAGUAAAAAUAAUCCUAAACCCCUGUAGAAGAAGUUACCUUUUAAUUUGAGGUUUUUCAUCCAGCAGUAGUAAUACAGCCAAAAACCUAGUAGAAGAAUACAAGCUGCAGUGGUAGUCAAAACAACUACCCAUAACAGUCGCUUAUUUUGACCACUCUUGUCAUCCUCUUCAGCUGAAAAGUCAAUCACUUUGCGUUGGUUAACCAUUGAUGCUGAAAUAAAGAUCUUAAUUCAAGUCAUUAUCCAGAAAAGUGAUCAACGGAUUGCAGUGAGUGCGGAAUUCCAUUUGCUUACCUGCAGCUUGAGAAAGCAUCCAAUCAUGAUCAUAGGAAACUAGCCACACAUGGUAUCCGCGUAGCUUCUUCUCCUUGGCAUAUGCAACCUUCACUCUAAUGGCCUCCACAUCAUCAAAACCAAACCAAAUCUUCCCAAUCGAGCAGUAGUUCACCACAUAAGUUGAAUUGUAAAUAACUUGGACAUUAGGACCAUAUCUCUUGAUGUGAUUCUUGAUUUCCCUAUAACUCACAAGACCAUCUUCACUCAAAGCUGGUCCCGUUGCUGCUGCACCAAUACCAUUGUCCUCAGGUUUCACAAGCGUCCAUGCAUAGCCAUAGAAAGGCAAACAUAAAACCAAUUUAUCAGCCGAUAACCCUUCGUCAAUCCAUUCCGUGAUUCCGUAUUCAGUAUUAGAGACACUAUUUGGAUCAUACAGAGCCGCAUGAGCACCAGUAAAAUUUGUCCACGUAGGGACUGAGUAAUCAGUAGUGAAAACAUGGACCCAAUUCAAGUAUUGUCUUAUCGAGUCGACUGGAUAAGCUGCUGCUGGUGAGUAUGGUGAAUAUGCAACCGUUGCCGUCAAAAUCAACUGUGAUUGGCUCGAGUUAUUUCUUGCUUCUAAAGCUACGGCAGCUCGCCAUUCUUUAAAGAGAAUGCCAAUAUUGUACUUAUCCCAGCUUGUGUUUGCAAAAUACCAAGACAGAUCUAAGCCUUGAAAGCCAUAGAGCCUUGCUAUUUUUAUUGAGGAGUCAAUAAAGGAUUUCCUGGAAGAAGGAUUGCCCGCCAUGGAAGAAUAAGUUGAAUAGUUUGGAUAAUUUCCUGCUCCGAUGGAAAGAAGUGUAGUGAUUGAUGGGUUCUUUAUUUUGACUGUGUCUGUGAAGUUGGAGAAUUGUUUUUCAUCCGAAGGUAAUAAAGAAAGCUCAUAGGAAGUUGAGUUGACACCAGCAAAACCACACAUCAGGUGAGUGAAGAGAGCAGAAUUUACAUCUGAAACUGGGAACCCAUCGCGUGAAUCCCAGUAACCAGCUCUGAUUAAAGUUUGUGCUCUUGCAGGAAGCGAUUCUGAAAAUAUAAAAAUGUGGAGGACAAGAAUGAUAAUUUUGGAUGCCAUUGUGGGAACCUGGCUGCUUGAGGCAUACCUAGUAUGUGAUUAUAUAUUUGUACACACACACACAAAAUGUAAUGGAGAAAUUAUCCUAUACCGAUUGAGAUUAGUUAUUGCACUAAUAAUGCAAACUUGAGUCAACUUUCAACUUAUGAGCUUAGUCCAUAAGUUUUUAUACGAUAUCAAAUUCAAGUUAUGAAUGAGGGACCCUAUAAUACCUUCCAACCUAACUUAAUAAUUAAUCUUAGCCAAUGUGACAUACUUGUUCUAUCACUUUAUCACGUCCAAGUCGAUCUUUUAGCUUUGUCUCUUUUUCAUGAUAAUAAGUGAUAAGAUUGAAGUUCUUAAAUUAAGCUAUGACUUUUUACCUCCGCUUAGCUUGACUUCUGAAGUUGGAGACUCGUUCUUUUGUAUUGUCUUUGUUGGUAUUUAAAUGAACUCGGAGUCCUCGACGAGUUUCUGAAGCGAAGUCAUUAUUCCUCUAUGACUCCAUCCAUGCAAUUGGAAGGCAAAAUCUUGUGAAAAUAUUUUCUAAGUUGAUUCAGUCCAUGAUCAACGUGCACAAAACGCAAAAUCUUGCGAAAAUCAAACCCGUCCUCACUCAUGACCUCACUUUAUUAAAUUACAGCUUGUCAUUGAAUUGAGUGUUGCCUUAAUUAAGCCAUCAAAUUAAUAAAGUGAUGGUCAUUAAGAAAUACACUUAGUUACUUCCUGAUGGUAAGAUUCAAUAAUAUUCUAAUUUAAAAAAAAAAAAAAAGAUCCAUAUACCUUUUUCUUGUGUAAUUUAAUUUUCAGUCCAGUCCACCCUCCCAUUUUAUCAUAAAAGUGUAUACAAACAUACGUUUUACUCAAUGUUUACUUAGAAACAAAUGGCGCGCGUACGAUUGCCGAUCUAGUACCACUCUCGUAUGCUUGGUGGGAUUCGGCUUCACCAAAUUUGUAGCAUAUAUUUUACUUUAAUGAGAAAAUCAAAUAAUUAUUGAACAAAUAAUUUUUUUUUCAAUAUACUUUCUUAAAAUGUAUGGAGUUGGUAAAGUGCAAAUUCAUUUUUUAGCCCUUUGACUCCUCCAAAAUCAAAACUAAAAUUAAUGGUCAGUUAAAUAAUGUUACUUGAAAAUCAUUUCCUAGCUAGAAUUUGUUUAAUUCUAUUAAUUUACAAUCGUUUUUCAUUUUACUUAAUUAAUUAAAGUGAAUUUAUUAUGUAUACAUUCUACAUACAUAAAGUUUUAAUAUUCAGUGUUGAAUUGAAUUGUACUAAAUUUUUUAUAAUUUUUUGUCAGACCUGCGUUUUUAACAGUUUAAUAGUAAUAUUGAUAGCACAUAAUAUACAGGAUUAAGAGAGAUCGAUUUCGACUGCUACAAGAUUUUUAGGAUUGCAUGCACAAGGGUUUAAAAACAAAGUGUACACUUAAUUACACCAAACGAGGGUGCAUUUUUAUGAUGAAAUAAAAACUACGUGCAGGGUUGUAAAAGUGGCUCCAUAAUUAGCGUACAUUAACAUUCAUCUAGCUACCACUUCCGAAAAUGAUACAUCAUAAGCCGAACAUUUUUCCAAUUUUGUUGUAGAUAAUAGUUCAAUCCCAAUUUCAUCAACUUGUUUUGAGAAAGCAGGCUUCUUGGGAGUAUUUGUAUUUGUGGUUUCAUUCUUGAGCAUUGAGGAAACUUCCAGCAUUGAAGGUCUAUCGUUUGGAUUCUCCUGGACACACAACAAAGCUAUUUCCACACAUCUCAUUAAUUUACAAGGGGAAUUUCUAUCAUCUAGGAAUGAAUCCACAAACUCCACGCCUUUGCCAACUUUCC
rnacentral:lncRNA from 1 species